CCUGCUCUUUUAACUGAAAACUGGGAGCACUAGCAGUUUUUCACAAGGUAAUCACCUCCUAUGAAUGUUUGGUGGUGCUGCUCCAAUUUCUAUUGCAUUGCUUAUGAUGUAUGAAUGGAUUAUUUUCCUCAUUUGCUAAUUAACGCAACUGGCGUAAUUCUUCAUGAGAAUAGAUAUUUUUGUAGUGCACAGUAUGAUUUUUUUAGUUACCCUCCUUAUGAAUAGAUUUUUUGUAGUGUGCAGUACAAUAUUUUUGACAGGGUUGCAUGUUGCUUGCUACUGCUACUGCUUGUACAAUUGUGUUGUUUUGUAAUAUUCCUUAACUGUUAAGAGAUAUGGCCACACUGAGAUUUUGCUAUGGGCAGGAAAGUGGAUUGGACAAUGCCGCUAGCUUGGAUGGUGCCCCAUAUGGAUGUCGAUCGUGGGCGACGUGAGGAGGGACAAGGCAGAGAAAGGGGGUCAGGUUGGCGCCGCAUUAGAGGUGAGCGAGGGGGCCGGGGUUGCAUCGCCGCCGAGAUGCGUGAGGGGAUCGGAGCUGCGCCAAGCGGAUUCAUCAGAGCACUUCGCUCCUGCUGCCUUUGGCCUGAUGCUUAGAUGGAUUGGUGCGUAAGUUUGAAUCCUUUCAUUUUUCACUUCUCUAAUGGGUGGCUGAUGGCCUGAUGCUUUGAUAGAUCGAUGUAUGCUAGAACUGGCUGAUAUGUGCGUGUGUGUGCACAUUUUUUUCUUUUGAUUUUUGUAGAGAUUGGCUCAUGCUUCUCUGCUUAUGGAUUUCUUCUGUCUGUGUUCCUCACUGUUGCUGAAUGAUCUGGUGAUUUUUAUUCUUUGUGGGCUUAUCUGAUGAAAUUUACUGCUACUUAGAUCGUGCACUGACGCUACCACCAGAAGAUAGAUCAUAGAUGCAUGUGUUUGCUUUCGAACAUGGUGCGUAAUCUUGUGGUUUGCCAACUGUCACCUCCGGCAAUUUCAGUUCAACAUGUCUUGGUUUCUGCAUUCUGAGUUCAGAGUUCUACAUAGUAGAAUGGUUAGUAUAUGGGAGUUUGCAUCUACAGUUGCAUACUGUAGUUCCAUUCCAUCCUUCCUUAUUCAGAGAUGAACUAAACCUCUCAUUUUNNNNNNNNNNNNNNNNNNNNNNNNNNNNNNNNNNNNNNNNNNNNNNNNNNNNNNNNNNNNNNNNNNNNNNNNNNNNNNNNNNNNNNNNNNNNNNNNNNNNNNNNNNNNNNNNNNNNNNNNNNNNNNNNNNNNNNNNNNNNNNNNNNNNNNNNNNNNNNNNNNNNNNNNNNNNNNNNNNNNNNNNNNNNNNNNNNNNNNNNNNNNNNNNNGUACCACUUCCUCUUAAGAUUUCAGAAAUGACAUGUCAUGGACAGGGUAUAGAGCUCCGAAGAGUAUUCUCCUUCCGUCAUCGGUUGCUAAAUCAGUAACGCCCAGCAUUGUGUGCGAUGGAGCCCUUACCGCAGUUCACAACUGAACUCUUUAUUUUAUUUUAAUCCUUCAGAUUUGUCGGGUCAGGGAUCCUUCAGUUUUGUUGGAUCCGAAGUAAGAGCACCGGGACUUCAAGGACGAUGUAGAUUGUCGAAGGCUAAGUUGCAGAGUGCAUGGGCAGCAGUACCAGAGCAAGAACCUCGCGCGUGACGGAGCUGUUGUGGUAGAGAAGCAAAACUCAACGACUAACUCUACAAGCUCUGGUCACUCUCUUAAAAAUCACUAACGUAAUCAUAUCUCACUCCAUUAUGCAAAUCUUAUUUCUGGUUUUUUGAUUCCAUUUCAGUACUUAUACCUUUUUACAAUGCGUUUAGUGCAUAUGAAUGAAGUAUAUUGAUUUAUCCUCUACCUAUGGUUUGCUGUGCUUUAUUGGUGCUCAACGUUUUUGACAUGUUGGCAUGCAUAUUACUAAAUUUGGUCAAGCAACCCGCCAACAGACACAAAGAAGGUGAGUUUAUAAUGUGUAAUACCCGUUUACUUUUUCUUUUUAUCCUGCAAUGUGUAAUACUUAAAUGGAAUUCAGUUAUUGAUGUUUGUUUUAUGCGGUUGAAAAAAGAAUCUCAAAUUUGGUGACCCUAUGUUGCUGGUUUGAUUAUGACUAGGACAUAUGCCCGUGCGUUGAAACGGGAAAAAAUGAUGUUUUGUGCAAGCAUAAUGUCUCACAGCACCGGAUUCAUUAUGAAGAACAUGCUGCAAGAAGCAUCCUUCUACAAAAUGAACAUAAAAAAGAUACGUUGCAAUUUAGCCGUGUUCAUAUUUUCUUUGUCGGGCAUAAUCUCCCACUGAUUCCAUUUAUGUAGAAUCCUUUUUUGAAUGGCAUUUAAGUAUAAUCUUUUCAUGAAUUACCAUGACGUUCUCACUCGUUUUAGUCGGGAAUCAAAUCCUUCCUUUUCUAAUUUAGUAGCCCCAGCACAUUAAAGCCUACAAAUCCUUCGUGGCCCAGAUCAAAGAGUUAGACAGGAGGUCAUGUGUUUAAACCGAACGAAAGCUCAUAAAAGACCCAUCAACAUACAAAUACCUGGCCCAGAUCACUUAGCGUGUAUAAACUAAAUGAAAAGGACUAAACCAAACCAAGAAUACCUAUUCCCUUUAAUAGUAGGUAUAGAUAAAUGCUUGUUGAAAUGAGCCAACUGAUUUUUUUUUCUGCUGUAUGUCACCCUUGCGUGAUGAAAGUUAUAUUGUCUAAGCGACGACUUAAUUGAUUAUAGUUCUCUUUAUCCCUGAAAGGUGUUAUGCAACAAUACAAAAUUGCUUUUGUUUGCAGGGUUAUAUGUCUUCUGAUCAUCUCGAUGGCAUAUAUGAGGACCUGCAAUACUAAACCUGGAAAUUAGUCGUUGAGGCAGUGGUCAUGGUAGUGAUAUCUACUGCCAGAACAUAAACGUUUGGCCCUCCUUUUUGCCACGAAGGAUUAUGAUCAACUGGACUUGCAGAACCAGUUAAUGGCAUGAUGCUGGCAGUAGUAAUGGAGGGCUGUGAUUUCUGGAUGGUAAAUUCUGAAUUGGAAAUGAUAUUUUCUAAUGUAUUCAUACAGUUAGAUAAUAUCAUAUUAGAUUUUCUUCUCUUACCUGGAACGUCUGCCAUGUAAAGCAUGCUUCCCUUUGAUUUGCUGUUGUGCUAGGAAUAGGAUGGAUUGGCGUCCUCUUCUCACGAAACACACUAACAUAAAGUUUCUGGUUUCUGACGUACAAGGAUUAUUUACUAUGAACAAAUAUUGCAAUGUUCAUUGGUAGUACUGUUUGUUGAGGCGAUGCCUCUGCCAUGGGUAUGAAAUUAUCGUUGGGCCUUCAACUAUUUUUAUUUGAUGUAUAUGCUUCCAAACACUACUUGUUCCAGUACUACAUACUGGACAAAAACAAUUUCCUUAUAUGCUAGAACACGGCAUGGCUAAUUAGUAAUUGCACUACAUUCCUAAUAACUUCUAAAAUUUUGGGAGGCAUGGCAAUGUUCUUCAACCAUAAGUAAGUUCAUAUAUAAUUAUACACUUCAAAAAGAAUGUCAUGUGACAUAACUCACCUUGGUAACUAUGCUACAAAGUGUCCGAACCUGCAUUUUAUAUCAGGAUGAUAAAAUUUCACCAAUCUAUCAUCGUUCACACAAAAUUGAACUUGGGAGUGUUAAAAAUCGUUCACACAAAAUUGAACUUGGGAGUGUUAAAAACCGUCGUCACUAAUUUAGCUAACCGCUCACCAGUAGGUAAUCUAGCUAAUCACUCACCAAGUAAGUAAAUCUUUAAUCUGAAGUUGUAUAUUGACUGUAGGACAAUAACACAGUUUUCAACAGCUGCAAAAUACUGAAAUGCUGCUAAUUUAAGAAUUGAAGAGAUUGCCUUUUCAUUUUGUAAAAUCUUCCUGUUCCAUUGUUCCACCUGAAGUGACCAAGCAUGAUCUUUAAUUUGCCAUGUAUGAUGCAGCGGAGCCAUUUUAUUAAGCUGGCAUUAGCACAAAAAUACAAUAACCGUUGGGAGGGCUCCUUUGUAUCCCUAGACCCACACCCACACCCGACCGCCAUCUCCCACUGUCGGCGUUCUGGAAACGGGGGUCCCCAGACUUGCCUGCCUGCGGCCUGCGGCGUGGCUCAAAGGGGGGCCCAGCACGGCCCAUCUUCAUCAACACAGACCCAAGACCCUCGCGAGGGGCCAAGCCUCGCGGGGCGGAUGACACGGAGCUUCCUCAGGCACGGCCUCAUCAGGCUGGCUCGCGAGGAGGCGGAGAGAUCAAGGCGGGAUACCUCACGAGGUGCCCGUGACGCAAGCCAUGACGACCAAAGGCGCCAGGCGGGCGCCAGCCCGCGCAGUGUCCUCCUUUCCUCUUUGGUGCAAAGGGAGCAAGCGCAGCCGCGGAGUACCGAGGCAUCAGGUAAAGGUUGUCAUUUCGGUGCAACAAGACCAAGACCAGGAGGACUGCAAGACGGAGGUCAUUGUGGAGCCCAAGACGGCGUCACCACCAGAGCUUUGUGCAAGUGAAGACUACUUUUGUCAGGAUAGCUGGUACUAGCUGUCCCCCUUCAAAUUAGCCCGCCAUUGUUGGCUCCCUUCCCGCUCGAUAUUUGGGAAGAGGACCAGGGCCUCUAUAAAUAGGACUAGCCACCAUAGUAGGAAGGGGAGAUCGAAAUCCGAGAGGCAGAGGCUAAGGACGAAGAAGAGAAGAUCGAGAUCCGAGAGAGAGAGAGAGAAGGGUGACUGAACUCCUCCUAGCAGUUCGUCCCCCUCCCCCCCCCAGCCAAGAACAGACCCUCGCGAGGCUAUUCUUCCUUGUAUUGUUCAUCAUCAUCAACCCAAGAGGCAAUCCACCACACCACACUGGAGUAGGGUAUUACACCACAAUGGUGGCCCGAACCAGUAUAAACCCUGUGUCUCUUGUGUUGUUCGUCCCAUAGCUUAGAUCUUAGCGAGGCGGAGGGGUGCAGGUAGGUAGGAGGCGAAAUCUCUGCGCGCACCCCAGUGUUCGAACCUCAAGGGUCUGCCGGAACCCGAAAUCCGACAUUUGGCGCGCCCGGUAGGGGUGCGCCGGAAUCCACCUUCUACCGCUUCGCGCCCCGUCGCGUCGUCAUCGCCAUGUCCGGCGACCAGGCGGGCAACCCGGAUCCAUGGGCGGCGUGGCCCGCCCGCGCAGAGCCGCUCGCCUCGGGCGACCCCGUGCCCCAGGCAGCUCGCGGUCCGUAGGGCGCUGCGGGCCACGAGCGACGCGGACAGGCUUCGACAGCUCUCACACCGCGGCAGGCGCGGUCGGCAGCAAGGGCCUCCAAUCACGCCGCGACCACGACACCGUACACCCGCCGGGAGCAGGCGAACUCGAGGGCCGCGCUCACGGUGGCCCGAGAGCUACUGUAGUGCAGGCUGCUAGAGGGCGGCCGCGACGUGCUGCUGGAGCGGGUGGCAGAGCUCCUGGGCUUCGCCGCCUCGGGGGCUCACCCCUUCUGCACCCAGCUCCCAUCUCAAGCCCAGGGCGGCCCGCGCGGGGGCUCCGCGCGCGCCCGCUGGCUCCAAGGCUACUCCAACGCCAGCGAAGCUGUCAGUACCGGACCGACGGCGGCGCUGCCCCCGCUCCCGGUCCGCGAAGAAGGAGGGCGCGACGCGACCCACGGCCCCAGUGGACAGCCGCGCUACCACCCCAUGGUGGGCGCGUCAAGCAGAGCUGCGUGGCUCGCGGAGCACCACGGCACGGCCUUCGGGAUGACGGCACCAGAAGAAUACGUGCCCCUCAUGAUGGACCAAGGACACCCUCACGAGGGCGAACAAGGCUCGCCCCUCAGCCCAAGCUGGGGGGACGAGGCGCCAGAAGCUAAGCCCUUCCAGGAGUCCCGGGACGGUCCCACUGGGCACGCUGGAGGCAACGAUUAUCGGGUACCGCUAAUUCUUCAGGAGCAGGCAUACGCUAACCAUGGAUCGCAGGAGGUGCAGGUCGCCACAGCGAGCAUCUGCCCCGCUCCCACAGUCUCCUACCCCUCGGGAGGAGGGCGCAGGGGGCUGCAGGAGAGGGGCCGAGAUCGAUAUCACCACCGCGGCGUUCGGAGCAAGGUGUUCUCAGGAGGUAGGCCCUCCGCUGGGGAGGUGCCUCAGGGCCUGCCCCUGGCGGAGGACCCGUGGUCGUCGGGGGAACCGCUGGCGACCGCUCUACCCCAUCGGCGGCGUCCUGGUUUCAGGUUGUCAUUGAUGGCACUAGAGUGUGGCGCAAGGCGGGGCCCUCGUCGCGAUAUGAAGCAAGGCCGGUACCUGUGAAGAAGGCCCAGUGCCUGUGAAGCUCGCCGCCCCGUGACACUCUCACGUAAUAAUGAGUGGGGUUGUACAUGCCCCGGAGUCUCGGGGGUGCCGGCCUCAGGCCCUGGGGCUCCCUCCCACGCCCAGUGGCAGCACUUAGCUCCGCGCUGGUGAGAAGACGUCCAAGACUAGAUUAGGUGCCGGACGCGGCCUUUUGUCUGCUUUCAUUGCUUUUCCCUUUGGUUGUUGCUUUCCCCCCUGGAUUCAAGUUGGAUUCGAAUUUGAGAUUUGCAUGUGUUCGGGGAAGGGGUGCUUAGUCUCGUUCGAGCAAUUUCUCACGUUUUGGUUACCACUUCACCUCAGCUGCCUCCCCUCGUGAGCCCCUCGCGAGCCGGGUCAGGCCUAGCUUGCGCGCAGCCCAGACUGCCGCCGCCGCGUCCUCUCAUGAGGGUGUUUUACUGCAGAUCCUACGGACUCAAUCAGGGAACACUCAGGACACCGCAGCCUCCCACGGGCUACCUCAGGGCCAGCACGGGACAAAGGUAAACUAGCCGACCAGCGCGUCGCUUAAGCCAACCACUUGGCGCGGGCGCAUGGGCAAUGUAGCGUCUACUAAUACGAUGAACACAAGUCUUACAUAAAGGGCUCCCCCUCCAAAAUGCUCUCACCACCAUCAGGCCAAAAACUGAGUUCUAUUCAUGCAGGGUAAGGAAGUAAGAACGAUGCACAAUCAGUCAGAUAAACCCCCCAAUGCGUCCUCUGGAGCACCACCCGAGCCGUUGCUGGCAUCGCUGAACUCGCCAUCGCUGUCCGCGUCGCCGCCAGCAGCAUCAGGGCCGUUCACCACACCGCCCUCGUCGGCAGCCACGAUCACGCCGUCGUUGUCUGAAGUGAAGGCCCUGAUAAGAGCAUCCACAUUGUCUUCCACCCAGUGCGCCAGAUCGUCUCGGAUGGCCUGGGGGACUGGGGCGAUGGCAGCGUCAAAAUCGAAGUGGGGAUCCAUGUUCCGGAGAUGGCUGAAGACGCGAGAAAAGGCGCGCCCGAGCAGGGCGCGGCUCCUCUCCUCCACCAACCUGUCAGCCCUGACCGACCGCGCCUUCAGCUGCGUCACCACGUCAGUGAAGACCUGAAGAUUGUUGGCGUAGUUGACUGCGUGCGGCUCGCCAACAACCACCUCGCAGAUGUUGCCCAAGGCUGCGUUGGCUCUCUCCGGAGCAUGGUGAGCAUGGGGUCGUGCUCAUGCUCCAGGAUUCGCUGCUGACGUAUCUCCUCCGCAUUCUGGCACGCAACGACCUCAGCCUCCUCCACCCGCUAGCGGAGAAGGAGCACCUCGGCCUGGGAGGUGGUUAACUCACCUUGCGCCACCUCAAAGGCGGCCCGGAAAGCAUCGGCCCGCCGCGUCGCCUCCUCUAGCUUGGCCCUCAAGGCAGCAGUCCUGCCUUCAGCCUCGGCCCGGAUCAACCCCAGCUUCUCUUCGAACUCGUGCUCGAGGUUCAAAUGCGCCAUCGCCACCCGGCUUCUGACCUCCUCUAGGACACGGGCUUCCUGUGCAGCGACAUCAUCCUCCGCCUGCGUCACCAAGCGCUCCCUCGUCUCUAGACGCUCGUACUCGCGGGUACGUUCGGCGGCUUCUAGCAUCAGCGCCUCCUCACGCUUCUGGAGCUCAGCUGAGUCGCCAGAGGCCACCUUCAUCGACGCGAGGGCUGCCUCGCGCAGCUCCACCUGCUCCUCCAAUGAGUGGCACCAGGCCAGGAGCUCCCGAGCCCGCUCCUCCGCCGCCGUUUGCCGUCGGUCAGCUUCCCGGGCCUCCUCGGCGGCCCAAGAUCGGGCCUCCCGAGAGGCCACCAGCGACGCCUUGGCCUCUGCAUCGUUAAGAUCGCGCUGACGGCGCGCAAGGGCGAUGGCACCCUCCAGCUCGCGCCUCUCUGCAGCUAGGCGCAGGCCCUCGGCCUCAAGGCGCGCAUCUUCAUCAGCAAGCUCCUCACCAAGCAGGCUUACCGCGUCAGCCGCCCUUCGAAGGAAUCCUUGGCGGAGAGCGCGACGCUCCCGAGCGCGCUCGAGCACGUCUUCCACACCAUCAUCUGCCCCAAGCAAGCGCCGGGGGCCACGAAUCAGCACUCCCCCUCCGGGCAGGGGGCUGGGGGCUGGCACCCUCGCGACGGCCGGGCACGCCAUGCCAGAAGCCCGGCCUGGAGCCAGCCCGUCCCCAGGUGAAGAGCGCAGGGAGCGCCUCAGCCAAUCGCAGUCCACGACCAGGCGAGAAGCCCACGGCAGGCUGGCUAUGCCACGAGAAGGCCCGCGAAGGAGGAUCGUGAGGUGCGCAGGGCCACGAUGCGCCUCGGGACGGUUCGCCUCUCCGAUCGCCCUCACCGCAAGGGCUCUGCUGCUAGGAGCACUUGAGGACGGUGGAGGGGGCGAAGCCAAGGGGGACGGCACCUCAGCCGUCUCUGCGAGCUCGGCUGGAAGGGGCCUGCGGAGCAAGGGUCAGUAAAAGCAACAGAAGGAUCGGGAGCUGGGAAAGGAGAAGGCUUACUCAUCAGUGGCGAAGUGCUUCCUACGCUUCAGCAGGCAACAAGGGUAAUCGUCGCCCAGGGCCUCCCUUCUCUUCCGGAGGGCCUCAAAGUCCAUGCAAAAGCGGCCCAAGAGUUGGGCGCAGGGAUCAACCUGCAACGAAGACAGAGCGUCAAGGCGAUCUGCGUCAGAGGCGCCCGCCUAAUGCGCGUUGCCAACCGCCUCGCCAAGAGAAGCAGCUGGAGCCUCAGGGGCCUCAUUCACAGGCGCUAAGGGCAGCUGCUUGCCACCCUCGGCCUCAGCGGCACGGGCCCCAGGAGCUGCUCCCUCAUGAGCAUCGCCCUGCGCUGUCACCCCGCCGGGAGCCCCCUCGGCCUCUGGCGUCUCAUGCCUCCCUGCUCCGCCGCUUGCGGAAGAGUCGCCGUGGCCGACUAGAAGGCCAGUCACCAUCACUGGGUUCUCGCGAGGUCCCUGGAGGCCAGCGGGGCGCGACCCCCACUCAUCAAAGAUAGGCAUCUGCUUCACAAAAUCGCCCCUGCUCUGGCAGAGGUACAGCAAGGCCCCUCCCUGCUGGAUGCUGCCAGGGUUGGGGUCCCCAGUCAGGGUCAAGAGCGCUGAAAGGAUCGAUAUGGUUGACUAGAGGGGGGGGGGGUGAAUAGGCAACUAACAAUUUUUAGCUUUUCUUUAGCAAUUUAAACUUUGCAUCAAAGUAGGUUGUCUAGAUAUGCAACUAGAUGAGCAACCUAUAUGAUGCAACACGAAUAGGAACACAAGCAAGCAAGAUAUAUGAAACAAAUAAGCUACACAAGUAAAGGCACGAGAUAACCAAGAGUGGAGACGGUGGAGACGAGGAUGUGUUGCCGAAGUUCCUUCCCUUUGAGAGGAAGUACGUCUCCGUUGGAGCGGUGUGGAGGCACAAUGCUCCCCAAGAAGCCACUAGGGCCACCGUAAUCUUCUCACGCCCUCACACAAUGCGAGAUGCCGUGAUUCCACUAUUGGUGCCCUUGGAGGCGGCGACCGAACCUUUACAAACGAGGUUGGGGCAAUCUCCACAACUCAAUUGGAGGCUCCCAACGACACCACGAAGCUUCACCACAAUGGACUAUGGCUUCGCGGUGACCUCAACCGUCUAGGAUGCUCAAACACCCAAGAGUAACAAUAUCCGCAAGGGAUUAGUAGGGGGAAUCAAAUAUCUCUUGGUGGAAGUGUAGAUCGGGGCCUUCUCAACCACUCCCGAGCAAAUCAAUGAGUUUGGUUGGCUAGGGAGUGAGAUCGGGCGAAAAUGAAGCUUGGAGGAAUAAUGGAGCUUUAAUGGUGGAAGAGGUGAGUCAACGGGGAAGAAGGAGACCCUUUAUAUAGUGUGUGGAAAAGAUCCAACCGUUACCCACCAACCAGUCCGUGGCCAGCGGUACUACCGCGCCUGGCCAGCGGUACUACCGCAAGGCCGCGCGGUACUACUGCUUGCAACCAAGCGGUACUACCGCACGGCAGUGCGGUACUACCGUACCGUCCCAUGGUACUGCCGCGACCCCAGUCAGGGAAACAGACGCAAGCUGGGGGCGGUACUUCCGCACGCAUGGUACUACCGCGCCCCCAAUGCAGUAUUACCGUAAGGCAAAAGUCCCGUCCAGGGGGAAGGGGAACUUCCGUGCCUACUUCCACAAAAAAACGGAAGUAGCAAAAACUCGACACAGUAGUACUACCGAGGGGCGGUACUACUGCCUGACCGCAUAGCGCGGUACUACCGCACGGCGAAAACGGUACUACCGGGGCAGGUGCGGAUGUAAAAAAUUACAUCCGCUCCUACUACCGCAAAGGGGCGGCACUAGCCUGGUGGGCAGCGGUAGUGCGGCUCCAGGGGAGCGGUACUACCGUGAGCACCAGCGGUACUACCGCGCCACCGCGCGGUACUACCGUGGAUGCCCACGGUACUACCGUUGAUCCAGGAGCAGUACUACCGCAACCACAACAGCAGCCAGUCAAAGGAGGCAGGAAAAACGGAGGAAGCUCCAAGGAAGAAGGAGGGGAUAAAAGGAGACGUGUACGUGAUGAUUCCACCCAAACCUUUCCAACGCGGACCCCCUCUUAAUAGUACGGCUUUCCUACGACUCAAAUCCACCAAAAAGAAACGUAGAAAAGACGCCGUCUUCGUCAGUCUUCGAGGGGCACCCAAUCGUCUUGUGCCUAGCAGAGAAGAGUCUGGAAAACUCAUGGCACACGAUUAGUCCGCAAAUACGUUGUCAUCAAUCACCAAAACACUUAGGGAUAAAUAUGUCCUUACAAUCUCCCCCUUUUUGGUGGAUUGAUGACAAAACGGGAUUUGCACAAGGAAAAAUACUAUUGAGUAAAAGCAAACCCCUCCUCUCUAUAAUAUAGACGGGCUCCCCCUAAAUGUGUGCCACCUAGACGAGCACGAAUACUAGGAACCGAGCUCCCCCUAUAUUAUAGAGACAAGACAAAUUUAUCACUAGACAAGAUAGUACAAACAUAAGAUAACUAAGAUAGGUAGAGUGCAUAUGUCUUACACCAUAUGGAGGAAAGGUCUCAGAAGCACAAACAGAACUAAAGCAAACGAGGCAAACGAGGUCCAAACGACAAAGCAAACAAACACACCAAGCACGACACAAUGCAAAUCCCUACACUCUCUCCCCCUUUGGCAUCGAGACGCCAAAAAGGCAGAGAGGACACCUACACACACGGGGUGGCUCAGGCAGAGAAGUCGUCCCACUGCUCCUUGUGCUCCUUGUCAGACUCAGCGGCGGGGAUAGUCUCCUCCAUGUCAUUCUCUGAACUGGUCCACUUGUAGCCCUGCUUAGACAUCCAGGCAGCCUCAGGUGUGAUGACGUCCUCAGACCCGCCAGACACAUCCUCUUCAAAGAGCCUCAUCACCUUCUUGUCACGAUGGCGACUCUCCUUGUCAGUCACGUGAGCCCUGUACUGUCCCUUCGCCUGCAUGCAGAAGAGAGUCUUCAUCUUGUCCUUUAGCUUCUUGGCCCAUGAUGGCUCAGAGGAAGAGGUGGUGGACCUAGCAGCAUGGUCCUCAGCAGCAGUCUCAGCAGCAGCAGCCUCCCCCUCACCAGCAGCCCUCCUAGCAGAAGAUGCCUCAGCACGAGUAGUGGUGUUGGCCCAGUUGGGCUUGACGCGAAGGCUGAUGGACUCAUGGCGAAUCCAGUCUGGAGCAAGGAACUCAUCACCUGGAUACGUCUUCUCCCAAGUGGUGGAGAACAGCAGAAACAGGUACGGUCCAUAGAUAGGAACCUUGCGAGUGAACACCGCAAACCGAAGCUCACACCACAUGAUGUGAGAGACAUCAAGUGGCUGAGUCUGAGAAGUACGUGCCUCUGCACACAAGAGCAACAUGUCCACUAGAUAUGCAUGAACCUUGUCCUUGUCGCCAAUGCGUGGGAACAGAGUGUUGCGAAAGAUGCGAUGCUUGAUAUCCAGAAAGGAGUUCAACAUCCAAGAUGACUUCCCAUUGGGGAGUACCUUCUCAACAAGGAAGGGCUGAAGCUGGUUCUUGUUGGCAGACUCAGAGUUGGCAUGGGGGCGGACGCCAACGGGGGUGUGAAGCCUGUCAUCAGGAAUGUGCAGCAGAUCCAUGAACUCUUUCCAUGUAGCAGACAGCUGACGGCCAUUGGUCAUCCAAGUCAUCCUCCGCUCCUCCCCGGGAUGAAAGUACACUGAGGCAAAGAACUGACAGAUAAGCUCAGGGUCAUAGUCAAGGUGAAAGGAGAUCACCGGCUCAAUAGCAAACUGCUCCACCAAGUCUAGAGCCUCUCUAAAAUAGUCACGAAACUUGUCUUUCCGCGGGUGAUGCAUGUCUAUCCACUUGACACCCACGUAGGUAUUCUGCUUGUUCUUGAUCACGUCCAGAUAGAUGAGAGCCCGUUGCUUGGUCCAGAACAACUUGGUGCCUCUGAGGAUAGCCCGAGGAUUCACAUAGGGAUUGAUCUUCCGGCGCUCGACAUACUCAGUGGUUGAAAUCUCAUCCAUGCCCUUAGCCGGUUCCUUUUGCUUACUGGCAGUGGACUUGACAUUGCGCUUGGGGGCAUUGGAGCCCUCUGGGGCUUCAUCUUGGGGGUUGCGCAGAUGCUUGGAGCCAGUGUCACGACUGGGAUUGGAACGGCGAGAGCCACCACCUAAGACACAAAACGCAAAAACACCCACAACAGCCAAGAGAGAUUAAUGCAAAGACCACAACAAAGCAAGUGAAACAAGUAGAAAGCACACAUGAUACAUGCCUAGAGAGAGAUUUGAUCCCUACGGUAGUACUGCCAAGAGCUGCGGAGCUAAGAGAGUAGUACGGCUCUUAGACGCGGUAGUACCAUGCAAGAUCACGAUAGUACCGGGUGUAGGAGCGGUAGUACGACCUUAGCACCGCGGCCGGCGCGGUAGUACCGCAUCUGUGGAGGGGUAGUACCGCACGGUACGGUAGUAUCGCGCCUGACGGGCGGUAGUACCGCGAGAGCGGUAGUACCGCACAUCGGGCACGGUAGUACCGCACCGCGUCGGAUCUGAACUGGUUCAAAUCUGAGAAAGCCCGCGAAACCACGGCAGUACUACGGUAAGACAAAGCUACCACAGGACACCAUAUCAAGUAUGUUUCCUACGCAUCACGACUCUCCUACAUCCUACUCUUGCAUAGAUUUGGCCUAAAAUCUCAAGAACAACAAGUUUCUCCCCAAAAGCCUAGAAGCAAGAGAACAUCCAAGAAAAAGAGGGAUUUGGGGAAAACCUUGGUCCAUGGCAAGAGGAAGUGGUGGGGAACGAUCCCACCGGUCAGAAUCCGAGGAGAGUGGCCGGAGAUGGAGAUCCGGCGAGGGCCUUGUCGUGGUUCUAAGCCUGACAGUAGAGUGGGGGGUAGGUAUUGAGAGGCAAGGUCCUAGCUAUGGAGAGGUUGUAAGCACAAAGGAUGUACGAGUUCAGGCCCUUCUCGGAGGAAGUAACAGCCCUACGUCUCGGAGCCCGGAGGCGGUCGAGUGGAUUAUGAAUGUAUGGAUUACAAGGUGCCGAACCCUUCUGCCUGUGGAGGGGGGUGGCUUAUAUAGGGUGUGCCAGGACCCCAGCCAGCCCACGUAGGAGAAGGUUUAAGGUGAGUUAAGUCUGGGGCGUUACUGGUAACGCCCCACAUAAAGUGUCUUUACUAUCAUAAAGUCUACUUAAUUACAGGCCGUUGCGGUGCAGAGUGCCUCUUGACCUCCUGGUGGUCGAGUGCGUCUUCGUGGUCGAGUCCUUCAGGCCAGUCGAGUGUGUCCUCGUUGGUCGAGUGAACCCUCGUUGGUCGACUGGAAGGCGACCUCUUCUAGGGAUGUCCUAGGGUAAGUUACUUGGGACAGGUCCGUGACCCUACCCUAGGUACAUAACCCCAUCAUUAGCCCCCGAAUGGAUUGAGGCUUCGAGUAAAGGAGGAGUUGACGUCGUUUCCGAUUAACCUUUGCGCUCUAGUUGUGCGCUGUUCUGGAUCAAAGAAUCUCUUCGUUGACAAGGAGCAAUUCGUCUUCGGUCGACUCGAUCCAUUCUAUUUUUGCGUCGAGUGAUCUUUCGAACUUCGUCGAUCUCCGAGCGACGGAUCGCCGGAAUCGCCGCGUCUGACAGGCAGAUUUGUUGUUCGCGGAUUCUGCGGGGUGCGAAAUUCGGGGGCGCGCGCGAAGCGGGGCGGACCGCGGCGUUCGGAUGGGACGGGGCGUAGACGCCUCGAUCUCCGCGCCGCCUUUUUCGCCACGUAUCCAGUCUCCAUAACUGCUCACAGAUAUGAUUAGAUCGACCGAGCCCACACGUCAGCCACUCGGAAGGGACCUUAUAAAUGUGCCCGGCGAGGAUUUCUGUGCUGCGCCUCCGCAUUCUCCCUCUUUCCCUCCGCUCCCUUCCUCCCUGCUCAGCGUGCCUGCUCUCGCCUCCGCACCGCUCUCCUUCGUGCAUCCCACCGGCGACCAUGGCCAAGGAGAAGACGGUGGCGCUGGAGCGUGCCAAGAAGGCAUCGGCAUCGGAGAAGGCGAAGGGGAGAUCCACAAGCCGCCGAGGAUCUUCGUCCAGAUCCCGCCUGCCGAAAGGCUGGGUCCAAGGCGACUGGAUCCAGUCGACCAUCACGGAGAAGGACCUCCUCGACAUGGCCGACGAGGGCUUGAUCCCUCACGGAGCUGCGAGGUUGCCGGGGAAGGAGUGGCAGCCACAGCCAGAAGAGGGUGAGUGUGUGCUCCUGGCCACUCAUGUCGAUCGGGGGUUUUCCUUGCCACCGAGCAUUUUCUUCCGAGGUUUCCUGAAUUUCUUUGGAGCGCAGCUCCACCACUUUACCCCAAACUCCAUUGCCUACCUUGCUGCGUUCGUGUCCAUGUGCGAGGGUUUCUUGGGCUGUCGACCGCACUGGGGUUUGUUUAAACGUAUCUUCACGUGUCGCUCUCAGACCGUGAAGAAGGCGAGCCCAGGUGACGAGAAGACCCGAGUCGUCCAAAUGUGUGGGGGCCUGGGGAUUCAGGUGAGGAACAAUAGCACAUUCCCGCCCAUGUCUUUUCCCGAGUCCGUCAGGGGCUGGCAGUCGACUUGGUUCUACUGCCAGGUCCAGUCGACGCCAGGGCAGUCGAGUGGACUCCCUCAAUUUACCAUGGACCGAGUGAACAAGCCCUCCCCUCUGAAGCUGAUUCCGGAGGAGAAAGCCGACGUGAAGAUGUUGAUGGAGCGAGUGGUGCAGCUGGUUCGGGACGGAGUGACAGGCAUGGACCUCUUGGAGGUUUUCCUCAAGCGCCGCAUCCAACCUCUCCAGUUCCGGAGCCACUGCAUGUGGUUGUACUGUGGGCCCGCGGACGAGACCAGAGUCCAUCCAGAAGAAGUCGAUGAUGUCACUCUGGAAAGGUGGAUGGUAGCCGUUACCGGGAACAGGGACAACCCGCGCGGAGCCAGAAGGAUUCCUCCACUCGACCACGACAACGUCCCAAACAAGGUACACUUGCUCUGCUUUCCGUCGUGUCUUUGUUGUAUUCAUUCUUGCCGAUCCUGUCGACUGGUCGACUGAUCGUUGUUUGGGCGACUGCUAGGCCUUCACCGAGCUGUACUCGAUGCCCAAUGGGGCACAAACUUCGACUGAAGAAGGCGAGGCGAGCGGGGGCGAGGCGAGCGGAGGUGAGGCGAGCGGGGGCGAGAGCCAGGGAGAGGAGGAAUGGGACUCGGAUGCUGCAGGGGAUGACGACGACGAUGAUGAUGAUGAAGGUGAUGAAGAUGACCUCGAGGACGAGGAAGAAGAGGAGGAGGAGGUCGUUCCACCGCGCUCAGAAAGGCGGUCGAAACUUGUCCACGACCCCUCGACCGAACGUGGUAAGGGGGUAGCGACCGCUGCCCAGUCGACCAAGCGCCCUCGGACUACCUCUCCGGCGCCGACUGAAAAGGCGCCGAAGCAGCCCAGGGCGGCCUCAUCGAAGCCGGCCAAGCUUCUGCCGAAGAUGAAGGUGUCCAUCCCCACCAUUUCAGGGUAAUAGUCUUGUUCAUAUUUUCUUAUUCUUAUGCGAACUUUAUCUCUGGUCGACACUGAUGUUAGUCGACUGACCCUUUGGAGCUGCAGUGCUGCUACUUCUGAGACCUCGACCCGGGCCGAUGACCACGAGAUGGAGGAUGCCGCAACUUCGAAUCCAGGUGCCGUGUUCUUAAUACCAUACUUAGUCGACUGACUCGCGAUCUCUGAUCCUGACACUUCUCUGCAGCUCCACCCAACACUGUUAUCGAUCUGCCUGAUGAUGAUGAGGAUGAGGAGCCGCUGAAGCACAGGAGGAGUCGGAAAGCGCCUGCCGGCAAGGUGUCUCAGGAUGCGUCAGCGCCUGAGAUUCUGACUGUGGAGGGAGAGAACACCACUCGACACACGGUGACCUUCGCGACCCCACUGACGAGUGCUCAGCAGCCUUCCCUCUUCACGACUCACCACGUCCCAGAGGACCAAGCUGGUGCGGCGAAGGAGGCGAUACGCCAGGCGGGACUCAUGAUGGAGCAGCUGAAGACCAUCCGGGAUGCGAGUCAAGCAGCCUAUGACGCCAGCUCUGCCCUCCAAAGCAAUGUNNNNNNNNNNNNNNNNNNNNNNNNNNNNNNNNNNNNNNNNNNNNNNNNNNNNNNNNNNNNNNNNNNNNNNNNNNNNNNNNNNNNNNNNNNNNNNNNNNNNGAGACCACUUCAGAUAAUUUGCCUUCGCUGGAGCAACCAUGUUAACCUCUCGGUUAAUUACUUUCAGUCGACUUCUGCUUUCCACAUCUGCGAAGAUCAUCAGAGUGGAGUUGAUAUGCGGGUAUCCUCCCUCACUGUCCUCUUUGUCUUCGGCUUUGUCCGACUCCUUCUCCUUGUCCUUAGACUGUUUUCCCUGAAACUGCUGGAUCAGGAGUCGACAUUGGCGAGUGGUGUGCUUUGGGUAAAUGAUAUUGCCCUCUUCAUCUUUCUUCGUGUGAAUAUGACACGGCAUAUCCAUCACGUCGUUCCCUUCUUUAUCCUUCACCUUCUUGGGGUUCCAGGAUCCUUUUGGUUUCCCCUUAGACUUUCCUUGAGUCACGGCCAGAGCCUCUCCAGGAGCUGCUGGUUCAGCCUUCCGCUUCUGUUUCCGACUGGAAUUCCCUUUUUCCGACUGACUAGGCUUGUGCUUGCCGCUUCGGAGUCGGUCUUCUUCUUCGCCGUUGGCGUACUUGGUAGCAAUCUCCAUCAUACGACUCAAGGUCAUGUCACCGGUUCGACCAAAUUUCAAGCUGAGUUCUCUGUUCUUGACGCCAUCUUUGAAGGCGCACACUGCCUGAUGAUCAGAGACAUUUUCCACUGUGUGAUGCAAAGUGAUCCACCUCUGAAUAUACUCUCUGAGAGUCUCAUUGGUUUUCUGCACGCAGACUUGCAACUCUGUCAAUCCCGCUGGCCGCUUGCAAGUCCCUUCGAACGUUCUGACGAACACUCGGGACAGAUCUUCCCAAGUGUAGAUACUGCUAGGAGGUAAUUGGGUCAACCAUGCCCUGGCAGAACCUUCCAACAUGAGGGGCAAAUGCUUCAUGGCCACCUCGUCGUUCCCACCACCGAUCUGAACUGCCACUCGGUAGUCUUCAAGCCAAGUUUCAGGCUUAGACUCACCAGUGAACUUGCUGACUCCUGUCGCCAACCUGAAAUUGGGGGGAAUAACAGCGGCUCUGAUAGCUCUGCUGAAACAUUCAGGGCCAGAAACAUGUACUCGACUGCUCGUGGGCACUUCUUUGUCGAGUGCACCACGAUGGGCUCUGUUCCGGUUGACCAACCCUUGCACGAUAAUGGAUCGCGCGUCGAAGCCUGGCUCCCUGGGGUCAACUGGAACUCUACGCCCUGUACUGUACUGACGCCUAUCAUCUGGCUGCCGAGGAGCGUAAGACCCACCCCUCGGAGGGGAAUAAGGCACUCGACGCCUAUCAUCUCGGUCGAGCCUGUCGCCAUAUUGAUCUCGCCGAUGCUCAUACCCUUCGCGCCGCGGAGGCGAUCUGGGGCUGUGAGCCGACUGUACCGUAUUCAUAGUGACAGAUCGACUGUGAAUCCUGUUGCGCGACUGAGACACGGCUGAAUUCUGAUCUCCUGCUGCCCGGAGCAGAUCUCUGAUCUGCAGCAAACCUCUGCCAGCUUCUGACUGCGAAGGCUGAAUGGACUCUGCUAUACGGGUCGCUGCUGCUAAAUUCUGAAUCGGGGUUCGAUAUACCUGAGUCGGCGGGAAGAGUUGACGUCGACUGGUGCCGGGAACUCGUUGCCGCGCGCGCUCGUCGAGUGCUCGCUGAAGGUUCUCCAGUCGAGUGCGCUCAGCCAAAUUGGCCAGGCGCGCCUCCUCCAAGGCGCGAGCCUCGGGGGUUUCUCCUGCGAUAGGAAUACGCAGGGGAUCCUCGUUCCUGCGGCGAAGCUCUUCUCUUUGCAGAGAGUCGAGUGGCUCGGGCUGGUACUCUUCGUAACCUCGAGCAGGGUCGCCGCCGUCGCCUGCUCCACCACCGCGGGCAAAGCCGGGAGGGCUAUGAGGCCCGUUGACCAUCAGGAUUUCCGCCGCUGGAUCACUGCUUCCGCAUUCGGAUGCAGUCUCUCCGGAGCCAGUCGACUGAUCGAACAAGCCGCAGAGAGAUUCGUUGGGCUCGAUUGCCGCAACUUGCGUAGUGGUCGACUGGCGAGCCACCGCGUGACUCACCCAUCGCUGAAGCCUCGACCGACCUGAGCGCUUGCGCUGGCGGGAGACCGGGAGGGUGGAAGGAACUGACCGAUACUGGGUUGACGGUUGCCGCAACAGAACGCCGCGGACACAUGCGCGGAAAUGCGUCGCACCGCGGACGGGGAGCGCAUCAACGUCGAGCGGAGCCUCUUGGAGCCAUGCGGAGUCGUCGGCGAUGAAGGUGAGAGUGCCGAGACGGAUCUCUUGACCCUCGAUCAAAACUCCAGCAGACACCAUGAUGAAAAUACUCGGAAGAAUCGCAACUUCUCCACAAAAUCGCUAAAACACCUGCCCCACGGUGGGCGCCAACUGUCGUGGUUCUAAGCCUGACAGUAGAGUGGGGGGUAGGUAUUGAGAGGCAAGGUCCUAGCUAUGGAGAGGUUGUAAGCACAAAGGAUGUACGAGUUCAGGCCCUUCUCGGAGGAAGUAACAGCCCUACGUCUCGGAGCCCGGAGGCGGUCGAGUGGAUUAUGAAUGUAUGGAUUACAAGGUGCCGAACCCUUCUGCCUGUGGAGGGGGGUGGCUUAUAUAGAGUGUGCCAGGACCCCAGCCAGCCCACGUAGGAGAAGGUUUAAGGUGAGUUAAGUCUGGGGUGUUACUGGUAACGCCCCACAUAAAGUGUCUUUACUAUCAUAAAGUCUACUUAAUUACAGGCCGUUGCGGUGCAGAGUGCCUCUUGACCUCCUGGUGGUCGAGUGCGUCUUCGUGGUCGAGUCCUUCAGGCCAGUCGAGUGUGUCCUCGUUGGUCGAGUGAACCCUCGUUGGUCGACUGGAAGGCGACCUCUUCUAGGGAUGUCCUAGGGUAAGUUACUUGGGACAGGUCCGUGACCCUACCCUAGGUACAUAACCCCAUCAGGCCUCCGGCGCCGUUCUUGAGAGGGAGAGACGUGGAGAGAGAGACAAUGAAUGGGUAUGGGGAGUUGUAACUCCCCUGCCCGAGUCAUAACCCCCACGCGCCCUUGACGGCGCGGUAGUACCGUGCCCAGACACGGUAGUACCGCACAGUGCGGUAAGUACCGCACCAGAGCGGUGGUAUCGUGCUGUGGCGCGGUAGUACCGUGCCUCCCAAAGCGAUAGUACCGCGCCCAGACGCGGUAGUACCGUGGGAUCAAGAAGAUGCACGUUUCGAGCGCGAAAAACUGGAUCUUUGCACAAACCACUCCGAGCCAACACAACACCACAAGACCACGCAACACACAAAACUAGAAAGGCACACGACAAACGAACCAACCACGAGACACCACCUCUCCAAAAGAGAGGGCGGUGGCCGUAGCCACCUAUGUUUGAGUCAAUUGGUAUGGCACCGCGAAGAAUUAUCCUUGGGUCCAUGACCAAAACUCGUCUUUGAAGCACAAGUACCAUCAAAUAUGGCUAAUGUGAAAGACUUGAUUGAUUUAUGCAUAAUGGGGGGAGGGAGAGUUCAUUGAGAGAACAUCACCCCCCUAUGUCCAUGCCUACAUCUAAAUAGGACAACACGUUGAGUAUGAUGGGGUGUGCAAGGGUUCAAGCAACAUUGCUCGAAUCGAUGAUAUUUAGCUCAUGCCUUAACUCGCGAAAUCUUGCUUCAUCCAAGGGCUUCGUGAAGAUAUCUGCAAGGUUAUCAUGAGUGUUGACGUAGUUGAGCUCGAUCUCUCCUCGCCUAAUGUGAUCCCGGAUGAAGUGAUACCGGAUCUCAAUAUGCUUCGUCUUAAAGUGUUGCACCGGGUUGAGAGAGAUCUUGAUGGCACUUUCAUUGUCACACCAAAGAGGCACUUUGUCACAAGUGACACCAUAAUCCUUUAAAGUUUGCCUCAUCCAUAAGAGUUGUGCACAACAACUACCGGCCGCAACAUACUCCGCUUCGGUGGACGAGAGAGACACACAACUUUGCUUUUUGGAAGACCAACUUACCAAAGAGCAACCAAGGAAUUGGCACCCUCCGAAAGUGGACUUCCUAUCCACUUUGUCUCCCGCCCAAUCGGAAUCCGAGUACCCUACAAGCUUGAAGUUUGAUCCUCUUGGGUACCAUAAGCCAAAGUUUGGGGUAUGAGCCAAAUAUCGAAAGAUUCGUUUGACCGCCACAUAGUGACUUUCCUUAGGUGCGGCUUGAAACCGUGCACAAAUUCCCACACUCAACAUGAUGUCUGGUCAAGAUGCACAAAGGUAAAGCAAGGAUCCAAUCAUGGAACGAUAUACCUUUUGAUCCACCACUUUACCAUUGGGAUCUAAGUCAAGUUGGCACUUGGUGGGCAUUGGAGUGGAAGCCGGCUUGACAUCACUUAGAUUGAAUCUCUUGAGCAUGUCUUGAGUGUAUUUGGAUUGAUUGAUGAAGGUUCCUUCUCUUCUUUGCUUCACUUCGAAUCCUAGAAAGAACUUCAACUCUACUAUGGAGGACAUCUCAAACUUUGAGGUCAUGAGAGCGGCAAAUUCCUCAUUGAAAGCUUUAUUAGGAGAUCCAAAGAUAAUAUCAUCAACAUAUAAUUGGCACACAAACAACUCCCCUUUGACCUUCUUAGUAAAAAGAGUGGGGUCGAUUAGCCCAACUUCAAAACCACGGUCUUGUAACAACUCGGUAAGGUGGUCAUACCACGCACGUGGGGCUUGUUUAAGGCCAUAGAGUGCCUUAUCGAGUUGAUACACAUGAUCGGGAAAGUAGGGAUCCUCGAACCCAGGGGGCUGAUUGACGUACACCAAUUCAUUAAUGGGACCAUUAAGAAAAGCACUCUUCACAUCCAUUUGUUGUAACUUAAAGUUAUGAUGAGAAGCAUAUGCAAUCAACAUGCGAAUGGAUUCAAGACGAGCAACGGGAGCAAAGGUUUCACCGUAGUCGAUACCCUCGACUUGGGAGUAGCCUUGUGCUACCAAACGAGCCUUGUUGCGAAUGAUAAUCCCAUGGGCAUCUUGCUUGUUCUUGAAUAUCCACUUGGUUCCAAUGACAUUGUGGUUCCCCGUUGGCCUUGGCACCAAUCUCCACACUUUGUUGCGCUCGAAGUUGUUGAGUUCUUCGUGCAUGGCAUUGAGCCAAUCCGGAUAUUCUAGCUCCUCAUAGACCUUGUGGGGUUCCACACAAGAGACAAACGCGUGAUGCUCACAAUAAUUUGCUAAUUGUCUGCGAGUGCUUACCCCCUUUCUUAAGCUUCCAAGCACAUUCAUCAUGAGAUGAUCCUUGGUGGAGAGCUUGGAAGCAACCUUGGCGGCACAACGCUCUAAUUCCUCCUCUGUGGUGAGUUGAGGAGCGGUUACUUGAUCAUCUUGAGCGUCGUCAUGAACUUGUUCUUGAUCUUGAACUUACUCGGGGGAGAGAACUUGACCUUGGGCAUCACUUGGUGUGUCCACACCGUCUUGAGUAUGAUCUUGCCCUUGGUCUUGUUCAUGAGGUUGAGGGCCUUCACUUUGUUCUUCGAAAGCGUGUGGGCCUUGGGUUGGUGAUGGCUCCACUUGAGUGGAGCAUUGUCCUUCUCCUUCGGCCACAAGGGGUUCCUCAAUGGGUAGGAUGAAACCAACACCCAUUCUUCUUAUGGCUUGAGGAGGAAUUUCAUCACCUACAUCACAAGUGCCACUUUGCUCCACUUGGGAGCCGUUAUUCUCAUCAAACUCCACGUUACACGUCUCCUCAAUAAGUCCCGUGGAUUUAUUGAGGACACGGUAAGCAUGAGAGUUUGUAGCAUAACCAACAAAUAUGCCCUCAUAAGCUCUAGCCUCAAAUUUAGACAACCGAACACCUUUCUUGAGAAUGAAACACUUACACCCGAAUACCCGGAAGUACUUAAGGUUGGGCUUGUUACCGGUGAGUAUUUCAUAUGGAGUCUUGUUCAAGCCCUUGCGGAGGUAGAGCCGAUUUGAUGCAUGACGCGCGGUGUUGAUGGCUUCGGCCCAAAAGUUGUACGGAGACUUGAACUCCGCCAUCAUGGUCCUUGCCGCAUCCAUCAACGUCCGGUUCUUCCUCUUCGCAACACCGUUUUGUUGAGGGGUGUAGGGUGCGGUAUAUUGAUGCUUGAUUCCCUCAUCACUAAGAAACUCAUCCAAGGUGCAGUUCUUGAACUCGGUGCCGUUGUCACUUCUUAUUGUCAAGAUCUUUGCAUUGUGUUGACAUUGUGCUUCAUUUGCAGAGUCAAUGACGGUUUGUUGGGUCUCGCUCUUCCUCUUGAAGAAAUACACCCCCGUGUACCUUGAGUAGUCAUCCACAAUCACCAAGCAAUACUUCCUACCUCCAAGACUAUCGAAGGAUGGAGGCCCAAAGAGAUCCAUGUGAAGGAGCUCCAAAGGCCUCUUUGAAUAAAUGAUAGUCGUGGGAGGGUGAGCUUCUCAUGUAGCUUUCCUUUGAUACAGGCACUGCAAGCAUGAUCUUUAGCAAAACUAACAUUCGUUAGUCCAUGGACAUGGUCCCCCUUGAGGAGACUUUGCAAAGAUCUCAUAUUGACAUGGGCUAAACGGCGAUGCCACAGCCAUCCCAAAUCAAUUUUAGCCAUUAGGCAUGUCGCGGUCUUAGUGGGUCGCUCCGAAAAGUUAAUCACAUAUAGACCGUUCUCGACAUGCCCAACAAAGGCUACUUUAUGAGUCUUGCUCCACAAGAGGGCCACGGUAUCGAUAUCAAAGAAAGUGGCAAAGCCCAUGAUAGCAAGUUGACAAAAGGAAAGUAAAUUGUAUGCAAGGGACUCAACAAGCAUGACCUUCUCGAUCGUGAGAUCAUGAGAGAUGACCACUUUGCCAAGUCCCAAUACCUUAGAAGAUGAGGCGUCACCCCACUCGACAUUGGUGGGCAUAGAUGGAACCUUGUGCACGUCCACCACCAAGUCCUUGCUUCCGGUCAUAUGAUUUGUAGCUCCGCUAUCGAGCAACCAUGAUCCCCCACCGGAAGCAAACACCUACAAGAGAUCAAUGCUUGGUUUUAGAUACCCAUUUUGUAAUGGGUCCUUUGAUGUUAGUAACAAGGGUUUUUGGAACCCAAAUAGACCAUUCAAUGUAUUCAUGAAGAGAACCAACAAAUUUGGCAUAAACAUGCCCAUCACUAGCAUGGCAUAACACAUAAGAAGGGUUAAAAUCGCCGGCUUUGUUGAGAGGGAUGGCAUUGCCCUUCUUGACAUUGUUCUUCUUCUUCUCCUCAGGGGCACUCUCUCCCUCCCUCACAAAGGUUUGCAUGAGGGGAGGAGGUCGUUUGGUCUUGUCAUUCUUCUUCUUGUUCUUGGAGUCGGGCACGUACCCAACCCCUUCCUUGGCCACACCUCCCUUUUGGUUGAUCAAGAGAUCGUUGAGGUUCUUCUUGCCUUGUAUGCAAGUCGCAAGACCUUUCUCAAGUUGCUCCUUCAACUUCGCAUUUUCCUCAACAAGAUGUAUAUGCUCACAACACGUGUUAGUAGCAUUUGCAUUAUCAAUUAAAACCAUAUGAGGAAAAGUUGAUUUCUCCUUAGUUAGCUUCACUUGGAGUUGAUCAUGAGACUCCUUGAGACUAGCAUGAAUACCCUUCAAGGCCUUGUGGGCCUUGUCAAGUAUAUCAAACUCCUCUCUGAGUCUAGCAAGAUCAACCCCGAGUUUGGCCUUCUCGGAAUUUAGCACACGAGAAACAAUGAGGGCAUGAUCAUAAUCUUUCUUUAACUUAGCAUGAUCAACGCUGUGUGACUCCUCAAGAGCCAAACGAAGACCACGCUCUUCCUCAAGAGCAUUGGAAAGAUCCGAAAUCUCAUCGGCAUAGUCAUGACUAUGCCCUUCCAUCUUAGAGAUGGUGUCUUCGUGAGCCUCGAUCAUGUCAUUGGCCUCACCUAGUUGUUCCAAGAGAGCAACAAAGUGCUUCUUGGAUUUUCCCUUGAGUUUGCCCAUAAAGGCCUCAAACUCGUUAGCCUCCACAUUAGCUCCCUCAAGUUCAUUAAUGCUAUCCGUUGGGGAAGGAUGAUUAAUGAUGGUAGUUUUGAUGUUGGAGGUUACCUUGUUGGUGGCUUUAGCCAUGAGGCACUUGGCGGUGAUGCUCUCGUUGGGUGAGUCAAAGAGAGACACCCGUGACGUUAUUGCAAUGGCAACGGAGGCCAUGGCAACCGACUCAUCAUCUUCAUCAUCAUCAUCAUCCUCAUUGUACUCUUCUUGCAAAACCAAAGCCUUGGGAGGAGUCUUCUUGGUGAAGUUGUUCUUGUUGGGGAACGACUUGGCCUUGUCCUUUCGGAUGAGUUUGCCACCAUUGUCUUCCCUCUUCUCAUACGGGCAUUCCGCAACGAAAUGACUCACGUUGCCGCAAUUGUAGCAAGUCCUUACACGUUGCUUGCCCCUUGUGCCACUCGAGUUGUUUUUGCUAAAAUUGGGCCUCGAGUUUUUCUUGCUCCAAAAUUGCCUUGAAGCAAGUGCCAUGUGUUCAUGAUAUGCAUACUUCGUAUCUUCGGGGUUGCUCUCCUCUUCUUCCUCUUCUUCUUCUUCCACGGUGAGCUUGGCCUUCAAUGCAAGGUUAGGCUUCUUUGCCCGUUGAGAACGGAGCACCGCAUUGUCGGCGGUCUUGUCCAAAAUGUUCAUGGCCACAAACUCAUCCAACACUUCGCUUGAGGUCAAAGUGUGGAAAUCCGGUCUUUGACGAAUGAUGGAAGACAUGGCCUUGUGGUAGGGCAUCAUUGCCUUGAGGAAUUUGCGCUUGAUCCAAUUGUCAUCCGUGUCCUUGCUCCCGUGAUCUCGUAGUGAGACCGCGAGUUUGGUUACUCUCCGAUAAAGCUCACGAGGUUCUUCAUCUUCCUUCAUUGCAAACUCAUCGGCCUCAUCUUGUACCACUUCGUAGUUGGAGCGUUGAAUGCUUGCGCUUCCCCGGUAGAGAGACACGACACAAUGCCAUGCAUCUUUGGCCAAGGCGAAGGGACGAAGAUGAGGUAGGUCUUCGGGUGGAAUUGCAUCUUGAAUGAUGAAGAGAGCAUUCUCAUUGAAUUGAUUGUCCGCGGCUUCUCGAGGAAUGAAGUUGCUUGGAUCAUGUGGAUAGAAACCUUCUUCAAUGAUUCUCCAAAGGUUAGUGUUCACAUGAUUUAAAUGACGUUUAAAGCGGUAAACCCAAGAAUCAAAAUCCUCAUUUUUCACAAUCUUAGGGGGAGGACCGGCAUGAUUCAAAUGAGUGAAAGGAACCGGUCCACCAUAAACAAGUGGUGGUUCCACAUGGGCAAAGAUGCCAGUGCCAUUCUUGCCACUAGAAGAAGGAGCCUUUUCACUACUAGCUUCCCCCUUGUCGGGGAUAGCAUCUGACACCUUGAUGGCGGGAUCACCCACUUUCAACGGUGCGGUGGAUAGUUUAAGCCCCUCAAGAAAUUUAGUAAACAUGCUUUCAACUUCGGUCGUCAUGGAGGUUUUCAAUGUCUCCAAGGCCACAUUGAACUCCUCACGAGAGACCGAAGUUCCCCCAUCGCCCGUAGACGAGAUAGGAUUCACACCGGAGUGUUCCUCUGCACCGUCUACGGUAUCAACCAUACUCUUUGGACGGUAAAGUCCUUAAUAAAGAGACGAGGCUAUGAUACCAAUUGAAAGGAUCGAUAUGGUUGACUAGAGGGGGGUGAAUAGGCAACCAACAAUUUUUAGCUUUUCUUUAGCAAUUUAAACUUUGCAUCAAAGUAGGUUGUCUAGAUAUGCAACUAGAUGAGCAACCUAUAUGAUGCAACACGAAUAGGAACACAAGCAAGCAAGAUAUAUGAAACAAAUAAGCUACACAAGUAAAGGCACGAGAUAACCAAGAGUGGAGACGGUGGAGACGAGGAUGUGUUGCCAAAGUUCCUUCCCUUUGAGAGGAAGUACGUCUCCGUUGGAGCGGUGUGGAGGCACAAUGCUCCCCAAGAAGCCACUAGGGCCACCGUAAUCUCCUCACGCCCUCACACAAUGUGAGAUGCCGUGAUUCCACUAUUGGUGCCCUUGGAGGCGGCGACCGAACCUUUACAAACGAGGUUGGGGCAAUCUCCACAACUAAUUGGAGGCUCCCAACGACACCAUGAAGCUUCACCACAAUGGACUAUGGCUUCGCGGUGACCUCAGCCGUCUAGGAUGCUCAAACACCCAAGAGUAACAAGAUCCGCAAGGGAUUAGUAGGGGGAAUCAAAUAUCUCUUGGUGGAAGUGUAGAUCGGGGCCUUCUCAACCACUCCCGAGCAAAUCAACGAGUUUGGUUGGCUAGGGAGUGAGAUCGGGUGAAAAUGGAGCUUGGAGCAAUAAUGUAGCUUUAAUGGUGGAAGAGGUGAGUCAACGGAGAAGAAGGAGACCCUUUAUAUAGUGUGUGGAAAAGAUCCAACCGUUACCCACCAACCAGUCCGCGGCCAGCGGUACUACCGCGCCUGGCCAGCGGUACUACCGCAAGGCCGUGCGGUACUACUGCUUGCAACCAAGCGGUACUACCGCACGGCAGUGCGGUACUACCGUACCGUCCCACGGUACUGCCGCGACCCCAGUCAGGGAAACAGACGCAAGCUGGGGGCGGUACUUCCGCACGCACGGUACUACCGCGCCCCCAAUGCGGUACUACCGUAAGGCAAAAGUCCCGUCCAGGGGGAAGGGGAACUUCCGUGCCUACUUCCGCGAAAAAACGGAAGUAGCAAAAACUCGGCACAGUAGUACUGCCGAGGGGCGGUACUGCUGCCUGACCGCAUAGCGCGGUACUACCGCACGGCGAAAACGGUACUACCGUGGCAGGUGCGGAUGUAAAAAAUUACAUCCGCUCCUACUACCGCAAAGGGGCGGCACUAGCCUGGUGGGCAGCGGUAGUGCGGCUCCAGGGGAGCGGUACUACCGUGAGCACCAGUGGUACUACCGUGCCACCGCGCGGUACUACCGUGGAUGCCCACGGUACUACCGUUGAUCCAGGAGCAGUACUACCGCAACCACAACAGCAACCAGUCAAAGGAGGCGGAAAAAACAGAGGAAGCUCCAAGGAAGAAGGAGGGGAUAAAAGGAGACGUGUACGUGAGGAUUCCACCCAAACCUUUCCAACGCGGACCCUCUCUUAAUAGUAUGGCUUUCCUACGGCUCAAAUCCACCAAAAAGAAACGUAGAAAAGACGCCAUCUUCGUCAGUCUUCGAGGGGCACCCAAUCGUCUUGUGCCUAGCAGAGAAGAGUCUGGAAAACUCAUGGCACACGAUUAGUCUGCAAAUGCGUUGUCAUCAAUCACCAAAACACUUAGGGAUAAAUAUGUCCUGACAAGCGCUGUCCUCAGCACUUCAGGCGUCAGGUCCUCUUCCUGGAGCCUCAUACGAUCAUCGCGCCCGCUGAAGGCCCACAUCCGACGGGAGUGGCGUUGGAGAGGAGCAACGCGGCGUAGUAGGAACUCCUUCACCACCUUGGACGCUGUCACGCCAAGCGACCUCAGGAACGCGAAGCGGUGCCAGACGAAGACAAGCCGGGGGCUCUCAAGCGUCUCCUGGCCCCAGCCCGAAUUGGGGACAGCAGGCGAAGUUGGCUCCGAUAGCAGGGGGCUAGGCACCCCUGCAUCCACAUACAGCCACCGCUCGCAAAACCCAACCGCGGGCAGAGGGAGCUUGAAGUCAAUCCCAGAGGCCGCUAUCUCAGACGCAACAACGAAGCUCACGCACGCCCAGCAUUGGGUAGGGUCGACAAGGCGCAGCGAGAAGAAGUGGCGCAGCAAGGCAACCGAAGGAAGGAUGCCCAUCAUAGCCUCGCAAAUGAAGGCGAAGACCGAAAGGAGGGUGAUGGAUUCAGGACCCAGAUGCAUCAUGUGGAUCUGAUAGUGGGAAAGCACGACAUUGAAGAAAUCAGAAAAGGGAGGAACCAGACCCGCCCACAGGGCGUCGGCGAAAUACGGGACCUCGGUGACUAUCCUGUCGAUGGAGAAGUGGGACGCGGGCCAGGCCAUCGUCCUCCCACAUUCGUUGAAGAUAGUGGCCAGAGCCGAGCUGACCUUGCCCAAGCCCUCGGCGGGGGCCGCCAACGGCAGCGGGCAAGGCGGAGGCACGGGUUUCUUCCCCCUUCCCUUCUUCGUCGGAGCCAUGGCGAUGGGAAGGAAGGGGGAAAGUUCGAGAUUGGGUUGAAAACAGAAGCUGGAGUUCGAGCGGAGGAAGGACAAAGGGCGCUCGAGCGACAGAAAGGGGAGCGGCUGUGUACAACUACGAGUCCGCCUAGCAUGGCGCAAAAUAAGGGGGGCGUGGGGGAACAGUGCCGCCCACGUCCAAUCAACCGCCACGCGGCGCCCAAGGCCGCAAGCUGUUAGGGCCCGCGGCGCUUCGCCCUUGCCCUUCCGUCUCCCUGCACGGCCAAGUCCGGGCGCGCCUUGGGCCCGGGGGCUACUGUCGGCGUUCUGGGAAUGGGGGUCCCCAGACUUGCCUGCCUGCGGCCUGCGGCGUGGCUCAAAGGGGGGCCCAGCAUGACCCAUCUUCAUCAACACAGACCCAAGACCCUCGUGAGGGGCCAAGCCUCGCGGGGCGGACGACACGGAGCUUCCUCAAGCACGGCCUCAUCAGGCUGGCUCGCGAGGAGGCGGAGAGAUCAAGGUGGGGUACCUCAUGAGGUGCCCGUGACGCAAGCCAUGACGACCAAAGGCGCCAGGCGGGCGCCAGGCGGGCGCCAGCCCGCGCAGUGUCCUCCUUUCCUCUUUGGUGCAAAGGGAGCAAGCGCAGCUGCAGAGUAUCGAGGCAUCAGGCAAAUGUUGCCAUUUUGGUGCAACAAGACCAAGACCAGGAGGACUGCAAGAUGGAGGUCAUUGUGGAGCCCAAGACGGUGUCACCACCAGAGCUUUGUGCAAGUGAAGACUACUUUUGUCAGGAUAGCUGGUACUAGCUGCCCCCCUUCAAAUUAGCCCGCCAUUGUUGGCUCCCUUCCCGCUCGAUAUUUGGGAAGAGGACCAGGGCCUCUAUAAAUAGGACUAGCCACCAUAGUAGGAAGGGGAGAUCGAAAUCCGAGAGGCAGAGGCUAAGGACGAAGAAGAGAAGAUCGAGAUCCGAGAGAGAGAGAAGGGUGACUGAACUCCUUCUAGCAGUUCGUCCCCCCCAGCCAAGAACAGACCCUUGCGAGGCUAUUCUUCCUUGUAUUGUUCAUCAUCAUCAGCCCAAGAGGCAAUCCACCACACCACACACUGGAGUAGGGUAUUUCACCACAAUGGUGACCCGAACCAGUAUAAACCCUGUGUCUCUUGUGUCGUUCUUUCCAUAGCUUAGAUCUUAGCGAGGCGGAGGGGUGCAGGUAGGUAGGAGGCGAAAUCUCCGUGCGCACCCUAGUGUUCAAACCUCAAGGGUCUGCCGGAACCCGAAAUCCGACACCCACUUUCCUCAGUAUCACAACCUGAUGCGACAUUGGCAGCGCAAUCAGUCGGAGGAGGCCAGCGGUGGCGAUGACGGCUCUGCGAUGGGGAACGGUCGCUCGUCGUCGCAGCACCAGCAAUUCCAGGAUCGCAUAAUACCCGCAUGUUGAUGACCUCCAGGAGUCUCCGGCCUCCUCCCUCCAGGUACCUCUCCAAACCCUAACCGUCUCUGAGGUUCACAGUUUAUUACUAUACUACUAUUGUUUAAUUAGAUGGUAACAUAAAACUUUGAGUGUCUUAUAGGAGUUCUUAUUCACGGUUUGAGAUGCUAACUGGGUUCUCUCUGUCUCUCACAAGUUUGUCCUUGUGUUAUCUCUUUAUUCAGGGUACUCCCUCCAUUUCUGAAUAUAAUACCUUUUAUAGAUUCCACUACAGACUGCACACAUAACAAAAUGAGUAAAUCUACACUCUAAAGUACGUCUAUAUACAUCCCUAUGUAGUUCACGAUGGAAUCUCUAAAAGGUCUUAUAUUUAGGAACGGAGGGAGUAAAAAAUGCCUAGAAUAAAGAAAUGAUGAAUUGUAUUGUACUCAUUAUUGUAGUUAAAGAUUAUGUUUAAAAUCGAUCAUCACUUGGGAUGGUGCCAACUUGCAGGGUCGAUGAGACAUUAAAUUGCCAUAUUGCUUUUCCCUCUUCUUCACGUGUUAGGAAUAUAUCUUUAACAAUAGAAUUUAAUAUUUGUGGUUUCACAUGCAGGAAGAGACAAGAACGUAUCAAUCACCAGUGAAGGAGUCAUGUGAUUGUUGUCGUCAUGAUAAAUGUUGGUGUAGUGUAAAAUUCCUGAGCUAGACAUUAUGGUACAAUAUUAAUUUUAGGAUUGUUGCCAAUCAUACCCGUCUGUAGCUAUAUCACAUUGCAAAAUUCCAUGAACAUUUGGUUCACAUUAUUUCUCUGUUAUAUUGUUCCUGCCCAAGCAUGGAUGCAGGUGGACGUGGGCGCCGCGACUGCCACCAAGGAUGUAGGGGUCACUCUACAACCGGCAAGGACACGGUAGGCGCGCCAACCGCACUAUAGCCUUACAGUUUUCCUAAUUUCUAUAGGUAUGCGAGGUCAAUUUAAUAUUCACAUAUAUGCUGAAAUUUUGACUUCGAAGGACCAUCACUGAAGUUAUAUGCUGAAAUUUUGACUUUGAAAACCAGCACUAAAGUUAUAUGAAGUUUCUUGCAAGAGCUAUAUCAUUCUUUUUAGUACUACUGAUUAAUUCCCAUGAGUACCAAUGGUGAGAUUUUCAGGCAUAAAUACUGGAUGUGAUUCUCAUUGCUGGCAAUCUUCAUGAACCUAUCAAGGAGAACAUUGCAAUACUAAUUGUUGCACAAGUGUUCUCAACACCGGCUAGCAAUAAGAGAGAAUGAUAGUUUAAUGCUCACUGUUGUAAGCUUGAUCCAAGAGGAGCUUCUCAAUGUUCGACAUGUAGGCUGCGAGGAACAGAAAUAAUACCUAUUUGUUCACUCUUUUCCUGUACCUAUGAAUCAUCUGCCACUGUUCAGUAGAGUUAAGUUAUGUGCUUCAAUAUUAGGAAGUCAUCAUCUUCUAAAACAUACUGUUGCCUACUCAAACAUAUUUUGUUCCUUUUUGUUUCCAACAGAUUAUGUAUAAAAACACAUGUACAAUAAGCGUCAGAAUCUGCAUUGGACCGUCCUCAUAUGCUCUGUCCAUUUUUUCCAAAGAAAUAACACUUCUACAGUCCUACGCAUUCGGAGAUACGAUUUAGUGUGCUAUUACAAUCCUCGUAAUCGCACGCUAUAUUUUCUGUGGGAAUUUCUGUCAUCCAUUCUGUUUUGAGGUAAAUAUAUCAGUUAAUUUUUUUUUGUUCUAGCAAGGUACCAGAUACAUGUUAUGAAAUUCUCCUUUGCCUCUUCCAGGUCAACCACAUAGGCAGGAGGGAAUUCAUUUAUCAAUAAAAAUAAAUUUGUCUGAGGGGAUGUUAUCUUAUCUCUCCAGCAUAACCAAAUGAACACUAUGAUGAACUUAACAUCCCUCUGUCAUUAUUUCUCUAAGAUGCAAGCGAUAUAAAAUUAAAAAAGCCCGUCGGUGAGCACGAAAUGUAUUGCUCUGUCCAUCGGUGAGCACGAAAUGUAAACAUCCUUCUAAAUAACAUGUUAGCUAUCUUGAGGCUGGAAAUGCAAGCAUCCUUCUAAAUAAGCUAUUAGCUGUCUUCGGGAUGGAAAUGCAAGCAUCAAAUCUUGAUAUAAUUAAUAAUGAAACAUAAGCAGCAGCAUAGAUUUUGCUAUUUCUAUUGAUGUUGAAAUUGAUAAUAGUUAUUUUUAGAAAAGUAUAUGUGAAAGGAUAACACGAUAUAUACCAUUUUGCAUAUCAGACAGCAAAAACGCCAUGGUGGUCGCCCUCGGCUACGAUUGUGUGCAUUCCUUGCACUGGGAAUCGGCAUUGGACAACGUAGAGGGGUGAGGAGGGAGGACGAUGCCAUGGUCGGGAAGUGUGAUAGCACUGAGAGGAAGGUGUGGGCUGAACACCGUGGCGGGGAGAGAUGACAACAACAUCAACGAGGAGAGCAGGUCGGGGAAAUGAGAUGUGAGUGUGAGUGUUGUGCACUCACUUUUAUAUCACUUGUUUAUAAUUAAUCUCCAGAAAUGACUUGUUUAAAGUAUCUAAUAUUUUUCACUAUAUAAAAGUAUGUGACAUUUCUCUCAUAGCAAACAAAUGCCUGAAGGAAAUAUGCCCUAGAGGCAAUAAUAAAGUUAUUAUUUAUUUCCUUAUAUCAUGAUAAAUAUUUAUUAUUCAGGCUAGAAUUGUAUUAACCGGAAACAUAAUACAUGUGUGAAUACAUAGACAAACAGAGUGUUAAUCAGAGAUGGUUAUGUUUCCUAACCAUAAACAAAGAGUUGUUAUUUGAUUAACGGGAUCACAUCAUUAGGUGAAUGAUCUGAUUGACAUGACCCAUUCCAUUAGCUUAGCACCCGAUCGUUUAGUAUGUUGCUAUUGCUUUCUUCAUGACUUAUACAUGUUCCUAUGACUAUGAGAUUAUGCAACUCCCGUUUGCCGGAGGAACACUUUGUGUGCUACCAAACGUCACAACGUAAAUGGGGAUUAUAAAGGUGCUCUACAGGUGUCUCCAAAGGUACAUGUUGGGUUGGCGUAUUUCGAGAUUAGGAUUUGUCACUCCGAUUGUCGGAGAGGUAUCUCUGGGCCCUCUCGGUAAUACACAUCACAUAAGCCUUGCAAGCAUUGCAACUAAUGAGUUAGUUGUGAGAUGAUGUAUUAUGGAACGAGUAAAGAGACUUGCCGGUAACGAGAUUGAACUAGGUAUGGGAUACCGACGAUCGAAUCUCGGGCAAGUAACAUACCGAUGACAAAGGGAACAACGUAUGUUGUUAUGCGGUCUGACCGAUAAAAGAUCUUCGUAGAAUAUGUAGGAGCCAAUAUGAGCAUCCAGGUUCCGCUAUUGGUUAUUGACCAGAGACGUAUCUCGGUCAUGUCUACAUUGUUCUCGAACCCGUAGGGUCCGCACGCUUAAGGUUUCGAUGACAGUUAUAUUAUGAGUUUAUGAGUUUUGAUGUACCAAAGUUAGUUCGGAGUCCCGGAUGUGAUCACAGACAUGACGAGGAGUCUCGAAAUGGUCGAGACAUAAAGAUUGAUAUAUUGGACGGCUAUAUUCGGACACCGGAAGUGUUCCGGGUGAUUUCGAAGAAAAACGGAGAGCCGGAGGGUUACCGGGACCCCCCCGGGAGAAGUAAUGGGCCAUAUGGGCCUUAGUGGAGAGAGAGAAGGGCAGCCAUAGGUGGGCCGCGCGCCUCCUCCCCCCUUGGUCCGAAUUGGACUAGGAGAGGGAGGCGGCGCCCCCCUUUCCCUCUCCCUCCCCACUUCUUUCCUCCUCCUAGUAGGAGUCCUACUCCUACUAGGAGGAGGACUCCUCCUUGGCGCGCCAUAGAGGGCCGGCCGGCCUCCUCCCCUUGAUCCUUUAUAUACGGGGGCAGAGGGCACCCCUUGAGACACAAGUUGAUCCACGUGAUCAUAUUCUUAGCCGUGUGCGGUGCCCCCUUCCACCAUAGUCCUCGAUAAUAUUGUAGCGGUGCUUAGGCGAAGCCCUGCGACAGUAGUACAUCAAGAUCGUCACCAUGUCGUCGUGCUGACGGAACUCUUCCCCGACACUUUGCUGGAUCGGAGUCCGGGGAUCGUCAUCGAGCUGAACGUGUGCUAGAACUCGAAGGUGUCGUAGUUUCGGUGCUUGAUCGGUCGGGCCGUGAAGACGUACGACUACAUCAACCAAGUUAACGCUUCCAUUGUCGAUCUACAAGGGUACGUAGAUCACACUCUCCCCCUCUCGUUGCUAUGCAUCACCAUGAUCUUGCGUGUGCGUAGGAAUUUUUUUGAAAUUACUACGAAACCCAACAGUGGCAUCCGAGCCUAGGUUUUAUAUGUUGAUGUUAUAUGCACGAGUAGAACACAAGUGAGUUGUGGGCGAUAUAAGUCAUACUGCUUACCAGCAUGUCAUACUUUGGUUCGGCGGUAUUGUUGGACGAAGCGGCCCAGACCGACAUUACGCGUACGCUUACGCGAGACCGGUUCUCCCGACGUGCUUUGCACAUUGGUGGCUUGCGGGUGACAGUUUCUCCAACUUUAGUUGAACCGAGUGUGGCUACGCCCGGUCCUUGCGAAGGUGAAAACAGCACCAACUUGACAAACUAUCGUUGUGGUUUUGAUGCGUAGGUAAGAUUGGUUCUUGCUUAAGCUCGUAGCAGCCACGUAGAACUUGCAACAACAAAGUAGAGGACGUCUAACUUGUUUUUGCAGGGCAUGUUGUGAUGUGAUAUGGUCAAGACAUGAUGCUAAAUUUUAUUGUAUGAGAAGAUCAUGUUUUGUAACCGAGUUAUCGGCAACUGGCAGGAGCCAUAUGGUUGUCGCUUUAUUGUAUGCAAUGCAAUCGCGCUGUAAUGCUUUACUUUAUCACUAAGCGGUAGCGAUGGUCGUGGAAGCAUAAGAUUGGCGAGACGACAAUGAUGCUACGAUGGAGAUCAAGGUGUCGCGCCGGUGACGUUGGUGAUCACGACGGUGCUUCGAAGAUGGAGAUCACAAGCACAAGAUGAUGAUGGCCAUAUCAUAUCACUUAUAUUGAUUCCAUGUGAUGUUUAUCUUUUAUGCAUCUUAUCUUGCUUUGAUUGACGGUAGCAUUAUAAGAUGAUCUCUCACUAAUUAUCAACAAGUGUUCUCCCUGAGUAUGCACCAUUGCGAAAGUUCUUCGUGCUGAGACACCACGUGAUGAUCGGGUGUGAUAGGCUCUACAUUCAAAUACAACGGGUGCAAAACAGUUGCACACGCGGAAUACUCAGGUUAUACUUGACGAGCCAAGCAUAUACAGAUAUGGCCUCGGAACACGAAGACCGAAAGGUCGAGCGUGAAUCAUAUAGUAGAUAUGAUCAACAUAGUGAUGUUCACCAAUGAAACUACUCCAUCUCACGUGAUGAUCGGACAUGGUUUAGUUGAUUUGGAUCACGUAAUCACUUAGAGGAUUAGAGGGAUGUCUAUCUAAGUGGGAGUUCUUUAAGUAAAUUAAUUGAACCUAAAUUUAUCAUGAAACUUAGUACCUGAUAGUAUCUUGCUUGUUUAUGCUUGAUUGUAGAUAGAUGGCUCGUGCUGUUGUUCCGUUGAAUUUUAAUGCGUUCCUUGAGAAAGCAAAGUUGAAAGAUGAUGGUAGCAAUUACACGGACUGGGUCCGUAACUUGAGGAUUAUCCUCAUUGCUGCACAGAAGAAUUACAUCCUGGAAGCACCGCUGGGUGCCAGGCCUUCUACUAGAGCAACACCAGAUGUUAUGAACGUCUGGCAAAGCAAAGCUGAUGACUACUUGAUAGUUCAGUGUGCCAUGCUUUACGGGUUAGAAUCGGGAGUUCAACGACGUUUUGAACGUCAUGGAGCAUAUGAGAUGUUCCAGGAGUUGAAGUUAAUAUUUCAAACAAAUGCCCGGAUUGAGAGAUAUGAAGUCUCCAAUAAGUUCUAUAGCUGCAAGAUGAAGGAGAACAGUUCUAUCAGUGAGCAUAUACUCAAAAUGUCUGGGUAUAAUAAUCACUUGAUUCAAUUGGGAGUUAAUCUUCCAGAUGAUUGCGUCAUUGACAGAAUUCUCCAAUCACUGACACCAAGCUACAAGAGCUUCGUGAUGAACUAUAAUAUGCAAGGGAUGAAUAAGACUAUUCCUGAGCUCUUCACAAUGCUGAAAGCUGCGGAGGUAGAAAUCAAGAAGGAGCAUCAAGUGUUGAUGGUCAACAAGACCACUAGUUUCAAGAAAAAGGGCAAAGGGAAGAAGAAGGGGAACUUCAAAAAGAACAGCAAGCAAGUUGCUACUCAAGAGAAGAAACCCAAACCUGGACCUAAGCCUGAAACUAAGUGCUUGUACUGCAAGCAGACUGGUCACUGGAAGCGGAACUGCCCCAAGUAUUUGGCGGAUAAGAAGGAUGGCAAGGUGAACAAAGGUAUAUGUGAUAUACAUGUUAUUGAUGUGUACCUUACUAAUGCUCGCAGUAGCACCUGGGUAUUUGAUACUGGUUCUAUUGCUAAUAUUUACAACUCGAAACAAGGACUACGGAUUAAGCGAAGAUUGGCUAAGGACGAGGUGACGAUGCGCGUGGGAAACGGUUCCAAAGUCGAUGUGAUCGCAGUCGGCACACUACCUCUACAUCUACCUUCGGAAUUAAUAUUAGACCUAAAUAAUUGUUAUUUGGUGCCAGCGUUAAGCAUGAACAUUAUAUCUGGAUCUUGUUUGAUGCGAGACGGUUAUUCAUUUAAAUCUGAGAAUAAUGGUUGUUCUAUUUAUAUGAGUAAUAUCUUUUAUGGUCAUGCACCCUUAAAGAGUGGUCUAUUUUUAUUGAAUCUCGAUAGUAGUGACACACAUAUUCAUAGUGUUGAAGCCAAAAGAUGCAGAGUUGAUAAUGAUAGUGCAACUUAUUUGUGGCACUGCCGUUUAGGUCAUAUCGGUGUAAAGCGCAUGAAGAAACUCCAUACUAAUGGACUUUUGGAACCACUUGAUUAUGAAUCACUUGGUACUUGCAAACCGUGCCUCAUGGGCAAGAUGACUAAAACACCGUUCUCCGGUACUAUGGAGAGAGCAACAGAUUUGUUGGAAAUCAUACAUACAGAUGUAUGUGGUCCGAUGAAUAUUGAGGCUCGUGGCGGAUAUCGUUAUUUUCUCACCUUCACAGAUGACUUAAGCAGAUAUGGGUAUAUCUACUUAAUGAAACAUAAGUCUGAAACGUUUGAAAAGUUCAAAGAAUUUCAGAGUGAAGUUGAAAAUCAUCGUAACAAGAAAAUAAAGUUUCUACGAUCUGAUCGUGGAGGAGAAUAUUUGAGUUACGAGUUUGGUGUACAUUUGAAAAAUUGUGGAAUAGUUUCGCAACUCACGCCACCCGGAACACCACAGCGUAAUGGUGUGUCCGAACGUCGUAAUCGUACUUUACUAGAUAUGGUGCGAUCUAUGAUGUCUCUUACUGAUUUACCGCUAUCGUUUUGGGGAGACGCUCUAGAGACGGCCGCAUUCACGUUAAAUAGGGCACCAUCAAAAUCCAUUGAGACGACGCCUUAUGAACUGUGGUUUGGCAAGAAACCAAAGUUGUCGUUUCUGAAAGUUUGGGGCUGCAAUGCUUAUGUGAAAAAGCUUCAGCCUGAUAAGCUCGAACCCAAAUCGGAGAAAUGUGUCUUCAUAGGAUAUCCAAAGGAAACUAUUGGAUACACCUUCUAUCACAGAUCUGAAGGCAAGACUUUUGUUACUAAGUUCGAAAACUUUCUGGAGAAGGAGUUUCUCUCAAAAGAAGUGAGUGGGAGGAAAAGUAGAACUUGACGAGGUAACUGUACCUCCUCCCUUAUUGGAAAGUAGUGCAUCACAGAAAACUGUUUCAGUGACACCUACACCAAUUAGUGAGGAAGCUAAUGAUGAUGAUCAUGAAACUUCAGAACAAGAUACUACUGAACCUCGUAGAUCAACCAGAGUGAGAUCCGCGCUAGAGUGGUACGGUAAUCCUAUUCUGGAAGUCAUGCUACUAGAUCAUGAUGAACCUACAAACUAUGAAGAAGCGAUGGUGAGCCCAGAUUCCGCAAAAUGGCUUGAAGCCAUGAAAUCUGAGAUGGGAUCCAUGUAUGAGAACAAAGUAUGGACUUUGGUUGACUUGCCCGAUGAUCGGCAAGCAAUUGAGAAUAAAUGGAUCUUCAAGAAGAAGACUGACGCUGACGGUAAUAUUACUGUCUACAAAGCUUGACUUGUCGCAAAAGGUUUUAGGCAAGUUCAAGGGAUUGACUACGAUGAGACCUUCUCACCCGUAGCGAUGCUUAAGUCUGUCCGAAUCAUGUUAGCAAUUGCCGCAUUUUAUGAUUAUGAAAUUUGGCAGAUGGAUGUCAAAACUGCAUUCCUGAAUGGAUUUCUGGAAGAAGAGUUGUAUAUGAUGCAACCAGAAGGUUUUGUUGAUCCAAAGGGAGCUAACAAAGUGUGCAAGCUCCAGCGAUCCAUUUAUGGACUGGUGCAAGCUUCUCGGAGUUGGAAUAAACGCUUUGAUAGUGUGAUCAAAGCAUUUGGUUUUAUACAAACUUUUGGAGAAGCCUGUAUUUAUAAGAAAGUGAGUGGGAGCUCUGUAGCAUUUCUGAUAUUAUAUGUGGAUGACAUAUUACUAAUUGGAAAUGAUAUAGAAUUUCUGGAUAGCAUAAAGGGAUACUUGAAUAAAAGUUUUUCAAUGAAAGACCUCGGUGAAGCUGCUUACAUAUUAGGCAUUAAGAUCUAUAGAGAUAGAUCAAGACGCUUAAUUGGACUUUCGCAAAGCACAUACCUUGACAAAGUUUUGAAGAAAUUCAAAAAUGGAUCAAGCAAAGAAAGGGUUCUUGCCUGUGUUGCAAGGUGUGAAGUUGAGUAAGACUCAAUGCCCGACCACUGCAGAAGAUAGAGAGAAAAUGAAAGAUGUUCCCUAUGCUUCAGCCAUAGGCUCUAUCAUGUAUGCAAUGCUGUGUACCAGACCUGAUGUGUGCCUUGCUAUAAGUCUAGAAGGGAGGUACCAAAGUGAUCCAGGAGUGGAUCACUGGACAGCGGUCAAGAACAUCCUGAAAUAGCUAAAAAGGACUAAGGAUAUGUUUCUCAUAUAUGGAGGUGACAAAAAGCUCAUCGUAAAAGGUUACGUUGAUGCAAGCUUUGACACUGAUCUGGACGAUUCUAAAUCACAAACCGGAUAUGUGUUUACAUUAAACGGUGGAGCUGUCAGUUGGUGCAGUUCUAAACAAAGCGUUGUAGCGGGAUCUACAUGUGAAGCGGAGUACAUAGCUGCUUCGGAAGCAGCAAAUGAAGGAGUCUGGAUGAAGGAGUUCAUAUCCGAUCUAGGUGUCAUACCUAGUGCAUCGGGUCCAAUGAAAAUCUUUUGUGACAAUACUGGUGCAAUUGCCUUGGCAAAGGAAUCCAGAUUUCACAAGAGAACCAAGCACAUAAAGAGACGCUUCAAUUCCAUCCGGGAUCUAGUCUAGGUGGGAGACAUAGAGAUUUGCAAGAUACAUACGGAUCUGAAUGUUGCAGACCCUUGACUAAGCCUCUUCCACGAGCAAAACAUGAUCAGCACCAAGGCUCCAUGGGUGUUAGAAUCAUUACUGUGUAAUCUAGAUUAUUGACUCUAGUGCAAGUGGGAGACUGAAGGAAAUAUGCCCUAGAGGCAAUAAUAAAGUUAUUAUUUAUUUCCUUAUAUCAUGAUAAAUGUUUAUUAUUCAUGCUAGAAUUGUAUUAACCGGAAAUAUAAUACAUGUGUGAAUACAUAGACAAACAGAGUGUCACUAGUAUGCCUCUACUUGACUAGCUCGUUAAUCAAAGAUGGUUAUGUUUCCUAACCAUAAACAAAGAGUUGUUAUUUGAUUAACAGGAUCACAUCAUUAGGUGAAUGAUCUGAUUGACAUGACCCAUUCCAUUAGCUUAGCACCCGAUCGUUUAGUAUGUUGCUAUUGCUUUCUUCAUGACUUAUACAUGUUCCUAUGACUAUGAGAUUAUGCAACUCCCGUUUGCCGGAGGAACAUUUUGUGUGCUACCAAAUGUCACAACGUAAAUGGGUGAUUAUAAAGGUGCUCUACAGGUGUCUCCAAAGGUACAUGUUGGGUUGGCGUAUUUUGAGAUUAGGAUUUGUCACUCUGAUUGUGGGAGAGGUAUCUCUAGGCCCUCUCGGUAAUACACAUCACAUAAGCCUUGCAAGCAUUGCAACUAAUGAGUUAGUUGUGAGAUGAUGUAUUACGGAACGAGUAAAGAGACUUGCCGGUAACGAGAUUGAACUAGGUAUGGGAUACCGACGAUCGAAUCUCGGGCAAGUAACAUACCGAUGACAAAGGGAACAACGUAUGUUGUUAUGCGGUCUGACCGAUAAAAGAUCUUCGUAGAAUAUGUAGGAGCCAAUAUGAGCAUCCAGGUUCCGCUAUUGGUUAUUGACUAGAGACGUAUCUCGGUCAUGUCUACAUUGUUCUCGAACCCGUAGGGUCCGCACGCUUAAGGUUUCGAUGACAGUUAUAUUAUGAGUUUAUGAGUUUUGAUGUACCGAAGUUAGUUCGGAGUCUCGGAUGUGAUCACGGACAUGACGAGGAGUCUCGAAAUGGUCGAGACAUAAAGAUUGAUAUAUUGGACGGCUAUAUUCGGACACCGGAAGUGUUCUGGGUGAUUUCGGAGAAAACCGGAGAGCCGGAGGGUUACCGGACCCCCCCGGGAGAAGUAAUGGGCCAUACGGGCCUUAGUGGAGAGAGAGAAGGGCAGCCAUAGGUGGGCCGCGCGCCUCCUCCCCCCUUGGUCCGAAUUGGACUAGGAGAGGGGGGCGGCGCCCCCCUUUCCCUCUCCCUCCCCACUUCUUUCCUCCUCCUAGUAGGAGUCCUACUCCUACUAGGAGGAGGACUCCUCCUUGGCACGCCAUAGAGGGCCGGCCGGCCUCCUCCCCUUGAUCCUUUAUAUACGGGGGUAGAGGGCACCCCUUGAGACACAAGUUGAUCCACGUGAUCAUAUUCUUAGCCGUGUGCGGUGCCCCCUUCCACCAUAGUCCUCGAUAAUAUUGUAGCGGUGCUUAGGCGUAGCCCUGCGACAGUAGUACAUCAAGAUCGUCACCACGCCGUCGUGCUGACGGAACUCUUCCCCGACACUUUGCUGGAUCGGAGUCCGAGGAUCGUCAUCGAACUGAACGUGUGCUAGAACUCGAAGGUGCCGUAGUUUCGGUGCUUGAUCGGUCGGGCCAUGAAGACGUACGACUACAUCAACCAAGUUAGCGCUUCCGUUGUCGAUCUACAAGGGUACGUAGAUCACACUCUCCCCCUCUCGUUGUUAUGCAUCAUCAUGAUCUUGCGUGUGCGUAGGAAUUUUUUUGAAAUUAUUACGAAACCCAACAAUGCCCCCCCAUAAAAAAAGGAAAAUGUCACUCCUUUUCUUUUUAUUUGAAAAACAGUUAAUUCACGCUCUCAUUCUCUCACUACAUGGCAUAGCUUAUUCAAAUUGAAAUGCGACUCACUCUACUAAAAAUGACAAUGCCACUCACUUCGACUAAAAACGGUCACCUACUCACGUUUAGCAUCUGACCAUUGAAUAUAUAUUGUAUAUCAGUUUUUUUAUUUUAAUAUUUUUAUAUGUUUACUUUUGUUAAUCAUAGAUCAAAAUUGAUGGCUUCCCAUGAUGCUUUGAAAACAAAUGGCUUUUGAUUGACAAAGCUUUAUGAUGGACCCAGCAGAAAAUCACCUGGAUUUACACAAUCAGAACAGGUGCAUACAAAUAAUUAUUCUUUAUAUAUUUAUUAUGCAUGAUAAUACAAAAGGUGUUUAUAUUUUUUUUGUGCAUGAUAUUUAUUUAUUUAUUUUGCGGAAUAUGAAAGAGAUGAAAAUGGAUUAUGUCAACGUUCAAAAAGAAUCCAUCCAUAAGUAUGUUGAGGCGAUAUCGUUGGAAGGGCUAAAAAUUCACUGUGAUUUAUAUACAGCAAAAGGCCCGUGGCAACGCACGGGCAUUCUACUAGUCUCCCCAGAUAUACCAAAGCACUUCUGAUUUAUCCCUAGAUUUGGGACACAUGCACGUUAUUGNNNNNNNNNNNNNNNNNNNNNNNNNNNNNNNNNNNNNNNNNNNNNNNNNNNNNNNNNNNNNNNNNNNNNNNNNNNNNNNNNNNNNNNNNNNNNNNNNNNNNNNNNNNNNNNNNNNNNNNNNNNNNNNNNNNNNNNNNNNNNNNNNNNNNNNNNNNNNNNNNNNNNNNNNNNNNNNNNNNNNNNNNNNNNNNNNNNNNNNNNNNNNNNNNNNNNNNNNNNNNNNNNNNNNNNNNNNNNNNNNNNNNNNNNNNNNNNNNNNNNNNNNNNNNNNNNNNNNNNNNNNNNNNNNNNNNNNNNNNNNNNNNNNNNNNNNNNNNNNNNNNNNNNNNNNNNNNNNNNNNNNNNNNNNNNNNNNNGGGAGGAUGCAUUUAGACCAUAAGACGAGUGUGGUAUAUAACGACCUUUUAUUUGUGGGGGCACACAACGAAUUUACAUCGUGAUAUUAAUUAUACGUGUGUCGUGUAUAUCCCAUUUUAUGUGCUUGCAUUAAGAAUUAUUGUAUUAAUUAUUUGCAUUUUAUUAAGAUAAUUACCUGCCUAUAAAAAAACAGACGUUUCAACUUAUGAGAGUCUAUCACCGAGCUCUUGCACCUUGACACCAUUGAAGCUGACGACAAGUUUUUUGCACCUCAGCACCAAUCGCUAAGUUGUUGCCCCAUUAAGGCCACCUCACAUGUUUGUCAGGUGAUCUUUAAAAAAGACAUGUUUGUCCGGUGUAGUCGAAGAUUUAAAUCGAAGACAUAUCAAUACUCCCUCUGUUUGGGUGCAUUGGACGCUCUAUCAAAACUAGGCAUUUAAUUUUAUUAGUCGCCAUCAUUCAUUAGGGUAGAGUGGUAAUUAACUUCGUGAGCCAAAUAUGCGAACAGGACAGUAAAGGCAUGUACAAUGGUUGAUAAGAUAGUCUUAUCUUAAGUUUUGCAUGUAAUUUAUAGAUGACAAAAAAAAUGUCUACAAUGGGUCAUCUCUUAGUCUUAUCUUCAAUAACUAGCAAUUCCUAAAAAUGUGGUGAGACAUAUUGUGUUAAGAGAUCAUCUCUUGCCUUAUCUUAAAUAAGAGAAGACAAGCCUUCUCUUAUGAGUUAUCUCUCCUCCAUCUCAUCAUUUAUCUCAUCAUUCUUUUUUUUUGCGGGUGAUGCGCUAAUUAAUUUCACCGAGUCUUGGUGGUGUCGUCGAGACUAAUACGUCCAAUGUACCUAGACGGAGGGAGUACAACACCACCAUCAACGAGUCACUCUCUAUUUUCACAAAUAAGGCACGCGUCCAUUUCAAAAUUUUAACUUUGAUCAUCGAAUUAACCAACCAAACCUAGGUUGACAAAAGAUUUUUUCCAUGUCAACCAUUUUUCUAAACAAGAUCGCUAAUUAAGAAAAAGAAAAGAAAAGGUCGGAUCCGGUCUCGCCUUCUCGCCCCUUCCUCUCUGGCCGGUCUGCCUGCCGUCCCCAACAUUUCGCCGAGCGACCAAAAACUACUACCCAACCCGAGAGAGAAAGGCCCUCCUCGUCGUCCUCGGCUCCACCAAUCACUCUCGCGUCAGAGAAAAAAGAGAGGGGCGCACAUCUCCGUCUCCGCCCUCCCCUCCCCGUCCCCCUCUCCCUCCGCUCCCGAUCCGCUCUGCGUCGCGGCCGCAGCGGCGACGACCCCCCCAUGAUCUGACCGCAUUGCCGCGCGCGGUAACCCGAUGGAGGCGCUGAACGAGCUCUGCGACCUGGUGGCCGCGCACCCGGAUCUCCUCCUCGCCGACAAGCUCACCUGGCUCACCUCCCGCUGCGCGCCGCCCGCGUCCCCCGCGUCCCCCGCGCAGCGCGCGACCCGGGCGCACCUCCACUCGCUCCUCGCCCUCGCGCGCCUCCUCCCCGCGGGCGCCGGCCCGCCGGCGGCCCCGCUCCUCGCCUUCCUCGCCUCCCGCGCCUUCCUCGCGCCGGCCUUCUGGCCGCAGUCCUUCGCGCCCGCGCCCUUCCUCGCCAAGCUCCUCCCUCUCCUCGCCGCCGCGCCCGCCUCCCCCGCCCUCUCCUCCGCGCUCUCCGCCGCGCUCCUCGCCGCGCUCGACGCCGCCGACCCCGCCUCCGCGCCGCUCGCCCGGGCCUUCCUCUCCGCCGCGGCCGCCAAGCCCCCGCAGCUCCUCCCCGCCGACACCGCGCCCGUCGCCCAGCGCCUCUUCCUCGAGUUCCCUGGCUCCGACGAGGCCCCGCCCAGGGCCAAGGGGAAGGGGGAGGACGCGGCGGGGGAGCAGAAUGGAGGGAUCAAGGAGGCGGUGCAGAGGUUCGAGGGGGAGCAGAUCGAGGCCCUCGAGCGCAAGGAGGUCGCCUUCAGGCUCAUCGUUCAGAUGCUCGGGGGCGAGGGCGGGCUGGAGGCCAACAAGGUUGCCAAGGUCAGGAAUGCUGCCGCAUGGCAGGUCCGUUCGCUCACGGAUUUUCUCAAGGUGAGCCGGUGUCUUCUCUUCUCUCCCUUCAUCUGUAUAUCGCCUGUCGGUGUCUGCAUUCGCAUUUGCGCGUGUACAUGGUUGAGCUAGAUGUUUGCUUGCGGUCUGAUCAUGCUUGAGGUGAUGGCUGGCAGAUUAGGAAGCGGGACUGGAAGGAGCAGGGUGCACAACUGAGGGUGAGGAUAAACACCAAAUUAUCGUGUUGCCAAGCUGCGGUGGUGGUUCUGGUCCGGAGUGUCUCGGUCUUGGACGCUGACAGCAAAGCAUCCAAGGACAUGCUUCAGCAGACUCUUGCUUGGUUCAUCGAAGCCACCAAGUCGUGCAUCCUCUCAUCCUGGCGAAAACUCAAGAUUUGUGAGGAGCUCUUUUGCACUCUGCUCAAUGGGAUCAGCCAGAUAACAGUCUCGCGUGGGGGCCAGCUCCUGCCGGUUCUGCUGAUUCCCUUGAAACCGCUUGUUGUCAGCACAUGUUCGCAGGUAUGUUGGUCUCAUGCUUCUCUUGUUUGGACUACUGGUUUUUUUUAUGGAGGUGUUGCCUAAUGUGAAAUCAAUCAUUCCCUUGCAGGCUGACAUGACGGGCUGUAGCCCUGGUGCUUUGUUCGAGGCAGUGGUGAAGUUGAGCUGUGAGAUCAUAGAGUUUGGCUGGACAAAGGAUAGGGCUCUAGUUGACACAUUCAUUAUGCGUUUAGCUGCAUAUGUUCGUGAACGGAAUGAUUAUGAGGAAGAGGUAUUCUUCUUAAUUUUUGUCACCACAUGAAAAUUCCAUGCCCUAGUAAGGUUUCCUGCAACCCUUAGGGCAUAGUUGCACAAGCCAACCUUACUUGAUGUCACUUUGCGCAAGAUGCUUAAAAUUGUUGUCAAUCAGCAUGUGUCAGUCACAUAAAAUGCUUGGUUAUAGACAAGUUACCAUGCCAGCACAUUGAAGAACCGAGAACUGAAAAGCGAUGUUUUCUGAACUUAUCACCUCAGCAAACAGCUAGAAGGUCAUGCAUUUGGUGCUCUCAGUCCGCCUAAAAUCUUCAAAAAUUUCAAGAUACUACGAUGCAUCAUUUGUACAGUUAUAACUGUGUUUACUUUUUCUGUAUUUGGGUUAGACUAGACAAUAUUGAUGCUAUCUUCUUUCCUACGAGGCCAUAAACUUCUUUAUGUUGUGGUAGACUCAUGACCUGUGAGUUUUCAAUUAAUCUUUCCAUGUGCUCUAUACCAGUCCAAAAAUUAGUACUCCCUCCGUCCGAAAAUACUUGUCCUCCAAAUGGUUGUAUCUGGACUUAUUUUAGUUAUAGAUACAUCCAUUUUAUCCAUUUCGAGGACAAGUAUUUCCGGACGGAGGGAGUAUUGUUUCUUUACAUUUAUUACAUAGCGUGUUGUCCAUAUUUUUUUUCAUUUUGACUGCCAAUAUUCAUGGUUGUAUGGUAGUAAAAAUAAUAACAGAUUUAUUAUUAGGAAAGUGAUUUUAAUCACGAACAUUCUGGUGACUGGUGUCAUUUUCCUGUGGAAAGUUGUCAAUCUAGAUAUUAAUAUAUAUGGCACUGGUCAUGUUAAAGAAGCUUUUACCUGUAACUCUUCUUUCUGAACUGGAGGGGAUAAUACUAAUAUGCCUACCAGAUAAACUUUUAUUCUGAUAACCUGGAUUCUCCUCAUUCACUAAGAUGAAAGAUAACGAGAAGGCAAUAUCAGUCAUAAGUUUGCAUGGCUUUCAUAAAACAUGAGUAUCCAGCUAGUAUUCUGUUUGCGGUAAAACUCCAAUCACUUAUGUUUUUUUUUCCUUUUUCUUCUUACAAAUUUAGGCUCAUGGGUGUUUUAGUGCUGUAAGCAAAGAAAUAGAUAGUCAUAUAGCCUUCUGCUAAUUUAAUCCAACCACAGAAAUCUGGAAGCACCCACCCUUAAUUUAUUUCAACCUAGUAAUAGUAUGCUGCAUUAUUUGGGUGCAUGGAGAAAGUUGCAGCGUCAUCACCUGAUGUGCUGGUAGGUUAUAUAUCAAGACAAUAUUCCCCAUGGUAUCAGAAUAAUUUCCAGCAGCAAGCAGAACAAGCUACAUGAUCUUUGUUUUGAUUUUCUAGUUGAGUCUUUUGCGAUGGAUCUAGCACAUUUUGGAAUAUCUCUUCUACCAGAGUCGCAGAUACAUGAUAUGGCAGAUUACAAGCACCAUAAUUCUGCCCGUUGCUUUGUUUUACUGUUGAGGGUGGGUCAUUCUGAAAUUUAAAUUCUUGGAACUUGGAAAAUGUGUUCUAUACAAAAAUUAAGCUUCCCUGCUGCCGUCAGUCUUCCUUUAUGGGACUUACACUGGCUAACUGUAGCGACUAAAGAUAUGCAUCACGGUAGCAUGAUUAACUGUCAAUGGCUGGUUGUUUACUGAGGCGUGAAUCUAUUGCAGGAUGGUAAAGGAAAAGACACAGUUCCGGUGAUGCGACUUAAUGUAGUACGCCUUCUGGCUGAGUUGUGUGUAUGCUUGAAAAGAUGGGAAGUUGUAGACAUGAUCUUGCCCCUUUUCAUUGAACAUCUAGAGGAGGGUGACGCUUCAGCUCCAAGUUUAUUGCGUCUAAAAGUAUGGAAUUUUUGUCUCUUACCCAUUAACAUACUUACCAUGUGUCACUUUUGAUGAUAUUGUUUCAAGUUUAAGCAAACACAUUUAUGGCAAUCAAUUAAUUUAAACUACUGCAGUUGUUAGAUGCAAUAUCUCGUGUGGCAUGCUUGGGUUUUGAAAAAUCAUACCGUGAGAGCAUUGUAUUGAUGACAAGAAGCUACCUGGAUAAGGUUAAAGCUGUAGGAGCUGCAGAGAACAACACAUUGCCAUCAGAAGCAACAGCUGAGCGAACAGAGGUCUGUGAUGAGUCCAAUAAGAAAUUUACAUUAUAUACUAUCAUAGAGUUGUAAUUUUGAUUCAUGUUCCAUGCUAACUGUGUCAACAAAAUUCUAGACUCUUCCCGCAGGUUUCUUACUUGUUGCUUCCAACCUCACUAGCACAAAACUCAGAUCUGAUUAUCGUCAUAGGUUGUUGUCCCUGUGCUCUGAUGUGGGGCUAGCCGCUGAAUCUAAAAGUGGGAGGUGAGAUGCUUUGUCAUCAGUCUUAUUUUUCUAUUCUUAAGCUAAAAUAUAUCUUGUUUUUGAGUCUUGAAUGAUGUACACACUUUUUGCUAGGCGCCAAUAUGUUUUCUUGUAUGUUUGAGGUUGUAACUCAAGACAGUUGUAGAGUUCAGGGUUGAAAACUGGACUUAAGGGAGAGUUUCGAGUUGAAAAACUGGACCUUUUUCAAGUCAAAUAACAUCUAUUAUGGACUGGAGGUUGUAUUGCUUAGAUUGUGAUAUACUUAACUCACCAUGGUGUGAAUGAACGAACAGUCAUGAGUGUCUGUCUCUGUUCAUUUGUGGUUUUGUAUGAGUUUCCUAGGAUUUAUUUUUGUUUUCUGGUUUAAAUGCCACAAUUUUUUUGCUAGACUCUGGUCAUCGAGUAUACACUUUCUACAGGUAUUUUGUUUUGUAAAUAUGUUUUACGUGCCAUCUUGAUUUUAAUUUUGGACGGGAGCUGUAGGGACCCUCACCUCUUGAAAAUAGAAGAGUCUGAAGGAAACAAUCUAGCCCUUGUAGCUUUCCCUGCGAAGGUUAAAUGGCUCUCAUGUAAAAUUAUAAAUCCAUCUACUAAUUUGUAUAAUACUAACGUUGUAUCACCUGAUUCUGUACGUGGUAUUCUUUUCUUGUACCCUCUUCAUUUAUCAUACACAAUUUUAUUUCAUCUCUUAUGCUUGUGCUAGUUAACUGUCCGUGCUUACUGUAAUUGUCAUUACUGUAGGAGUGGUGCUGAUUUGAUGGGCCCGUUACUUCCUGCGGUUGCUGAAAUAUGUUCAGAUUUUGAUCCAGUGUCCUCUGUCGAGCCAUCUCUAUUGAAAUUGUUUCGCAACCUGUGGUUCUAUAUUGUCUUGUUUGGUUUAGCUCCUCCGAUACAGAACAACCAGGCAUCUACAAAACCUGUUUCCACUCCGUUAAACACUGGGGAGAGCUGUGUAGCCCUGCAAGCUGUUGCUGGACCCUACAUGUGGAAUAGCCAAUGGUCUGUAGCAGUGCAACGCAUUGCACAAGGAUCUCCGCCGCUGGUAAGUUUUUUAGGACCAAAGAGCUGGGAAACAGUAUUAUUAUACUGCAGUUAGGAGUCUGAACUUGUUUGAAUUCAUUUCCUGUCACUGAGCAUACAUAGCUUGUAAUGGAAGGGGGACAGAUGUGGUUCAUAUAAUGUAUACUUUGCAUACAGCUCUUUGUGCUCCCCAUAUUAUUGUUAGCUUUCUUUUAGCAGGCCGAUAUAUGAAUAAAUAUCAUUUUAUCUCUGGAAGGACUGUGUGGUAGGCUCAGGGAAUAAACUUGGAUCAGUGAAUUUAACUGUGAAGUUGUAAUUUGUAUGAUGCUUGUCUAGAUGUUUUGGAAAACUUAGAAAAUAAAUAUACCACUUCUCAUUAAAAGGGGCCUGUUUUUAUUGUAUUUUGUGGAUAUGGAUACUACAAUACUUGGUAAGAGUAUGAUACACGGGAUUGUAUAAAUUAAAAUGGUAUAUAAUAUUCACUGGAAAAUUCAGAAUUACUGUGUGACUUCGUAUCUCACAAGUAUACUUUUUACAUUUCAGGUUGUCAGUUCAGUGAAAUGGCUUGAAGAUGAGCUAGAGUUAAAUGCUCUGCAUAAUCCAGGCAGUCGUCGUGGCAAUGGUGAUGAAAAGGCAGCUGUUGGACAGAGAACUGCACUUUCUGCAGCUUUGGGAGGUCGAGUUGAGGUAGCAGCAAUGAGUACAAUUUCAGGUCAAUGUUUAUUCUCUGUUGAGUGCUUUACGGCUUAUGCAGCUAGUUGUUUGAUUCCAGAAAAUGUAAAUUGCCCUCCAUCAAAUAUAACAAAGAAACUCUAGAAACUAGAUGAUGCCCCGUGCGUUGCUACGGGAAUUUGUAGCGCCGCAUAGAAGAAGGAUUUACAGUGAUAAAAUAGUGUAACCACUAAAGAAAUAUGAAAAUAUAUGUUUAUUUGAAUCUUUAUUGGACAGAAAAUUAGUAUAUUUUUUGCGGGGUAGAAAGUUAGUAUAUUGUAGUCGAUAAACGCAUUGCUAAUGUGUUGGAUUGCUAAUAUAUUGCAAAACAUCAAUUAGAGUGAUCUAAGUUUAGCAGGAUAUCUCAAAAAUACCUAUUUAGUUUGAGCGAUCUAACAUUUGUACCAACGAACUACCAUCAUAGUCCAAGUGAGGAAAUGCAAAUAAAAAUAUUAUGAAAAUGUCUGAAUGUGUGUGUGUGCGCGCCCACGAGAGAGAGAGAGACCUCUUAAAAAUUAUAAUGUUGGUAUUAUCCAUUGUGUGCAGCCCAGGACUCCUCAUUCUCCAAUUUCCUCGUGCUACUGUGCCUUAAACGGACCGCAGCUGCCACGACACUGUGUUGUUUCUACAUAUAGUAAAAAAAAAAAAUCUGCUUCUGUCCAUUGCAAAUGCUACUUCCCUACCUUACCUAGGCUUGCUCCUCUACUACAACUGCACCAGAUGUACACCAUACACGUGCACCUUGAGGUAGCCUCUCUGUAACUGAGCUCUAGCACACCUUCUCCAUCAUAAUUUGGGUCCAUGAGCCACAUCCCCACACAGUUCCUCAUGAGUCCAAGGGCUCUGGGAAUGGAAGAAGAAAGGCGAUGACAUGAAGCUGAUGACUCUUCAUAUCCUUGAAAACUCAAAUGUGUACCCGCAAAAAAAAACUUAAAUGUGUAAAAUUUUGUAGCAGAUUAUGUAAAUUGUAUCACAAUUGUAGCACGACUGAUUGAAUAAAAUCUCAUCAAUUGCACUGAUAUAAGCUCAACGAAUUGCAGAGUAUUAGCAGGAUAGUAACAAAAUUUUAUUUCCACUGUUAUCUAAGGACGGCGAAUUGGACGGAUUGCUUACUGGAUUGGUAAAACCUAGACGAUUAGACUUGCUGUAAGCAUUCCCUGUUCUUUAGAGAAAACCAUCUCUUCUUUUUUGCCGGUGAGAUAAAACAACUCCGAUCACAUAAACAACGCAUACCUAUCUAUGAAGUAGAAACUGAUAGGAAGCUCGAGUCCCCUCCUGUGGUCUGAUGCAACGUAUAUGCGCCUCGAAGAAGAAAGGCAGCCGGAAGUGAGAAGAAGCCAGAGUUAGCGUCUACUAAUUAGUCGGUCCUAGAAAUGGUGAGAGCAUGGAAGAUGGGGUGAUUACCUUGACCAGGACCGUGGGAGAGCCAAGGGAGCAUGUGAGGAGGAUUGGGCUUUAUGCAGGAGCAAUUUCUACUAGGAGACGAAUCGGUGGCUUGACUGUUGAAGGAUUUAGCGAUCAUAAGACUGGUCGGUUACUGAAGGCAGAAGACGAAACAAUAGCUUGGCUUGGGUGACUGUCUUAAAAAGAGAAACAUACUCGUACGCUGAUUACGGAAGCCACGACGUGGCAUCAUGCAAAUAGAAACGGAAGACAAGACUUGCUCAUGUGGCGAGAUUGCUGAUGUGGGCAGGCUGCAUGUAGACAUAAAUCCUGUAGUGAGGAUGAACUUCUUAAGUAUAUAGGAUGAGUGUGAUGCAUUAUAGGUACCUAAGGGCAUCAUUUCCAACACCGUGCAUCAAACCGCCCAUAUACGUCCGGACCGCGUUGUUCGGACACUUUGUACCGUCCAACGCCGUACAUCAAACGUCCGCACGUCUGAAUUCCUGCAACCAGAAGGAAACCCAGGGGAGGUUUCUUUGUAAACCCCACCUUCUAGGAGGAUUGUACCUGUACCUAUUUUUUUUAAUGCAAUGAAAAACAAAGGUCCUUUGCGUUUUCUCGAAAAAAACUUGGGGGAGGUUUGCAAACGUCCGGACAGCUGCCACCUUGGACUCCGACACACCCGGCCCGCACAAAAGCGAGGCGGAGCCUAUGCAUUUGGACAUUUCCUGCACUGUUUCCGCACGAAAGCCUGCCCUUUCCCCACUGUCUCCACUCCGAUCACCGUCGCCACCUACUUCAGUUGCCGCUCGUUUCGCUGUCCACCGUCAUGAUGGAGCAGGAUGAGGUACCGACGGAGAUGUUCGUAUUCCCGACGGGCCUGAGGCGGAGGAUUCAUUGGUGUUGGCUGCUCGCAAGGUCAACACGGUGACGCACACCACUCGCCGCCACAAACAGAGGAAGAGGGAGGAUGCUUUGCCAGCGGCUGGUCACCCAGUUAGGCGUCCGAUAAAGCUUGCGACUCGGCGGGUGCCGGUCGUGCAAUCUUCUCCGCCCUGUCCGGCGCAGAUGAUUCCGCCAUAUUACUUUGCCGCCACACAAGGCACCCACAGGGUUUGGGUAUGGGUGGAGCCACCCCAUACCUUUAGGGCGUGUUCGGUAGCCCUCCGUGGUCGAUAAAUCCUCAACUCCAACUCCCGGAAUCGAGCUCCAGCUUCUCACGAUCGAUCCCGGAGCUAGCGAUCAGUUCGGUGUUACCGCUUCUUGCUCGCACGAGGGAGCAAACCUGAAGCCCAUAAAAUCGCCCCUUUGUGGCCCAUUAGGAACAAGCUGGCAGUCCAAGGUGUGGGAAAGAUGGGAUGGGCCAUAGGCCUGGUCGGGGACAGGAGGGGGGAAUGCUGCAGGGAGGGACGACUUGCGACGAGAGAAAAGACUGGGAGCGAACCGGUACGAGAAGAAUUCACUUGGCGGUGGCAAGGGCCGGUAAUUACCUAUCAACUCUCGCUUCCAGUUUUGGAGGAGCUGCGAUUUCCCAACUCCACGACUCCACAGAUUUUGCACUACAUUUUUAGCCAGCUUCUCUCCUGUAAAUCCUGGACUGGAGCCGUUCGGUUGGACUCCUGGCCGGGAGUUAGAGGAGUCAGGAGUUGGAGGAGUACCGAACACGCCCUUACCCACCCCCCUUGAGCUUACCUAUCAUCCUUGACUAUACCUGUGGGUAGAAUUAACCAUGUUUGCAAAGCGUCAAUUUGUACAACUCACAUCCAUAAAAAGCAACAAAUAGUCACAAUUUAUAAACAACAACACAUCAUAAAGAACAACACAUUUAAUAAACAACUUCACUUUCUCGUAGACAACAACACAUCAAAACAACAUUACAGUCAUAAAUAGCAGCACAUAGUGAUACAUUUUGAGUUCAUAAAUUCACGAAGUGUGACAUAAUUUGGCCAUCCUCGUUAAUAUGGCUACAUGGGUAUAUAGGUAUGGGUUGUAUGAUUCCAUACCCGUACCCGCUCUACCCGAUGGGUUUCAGAUUUUCCUAUUUGUAUACCCAUGGGUAACUUUUUAUCCCAUACCUUACCCUAAUAGGGUUUUUACCCGCAGGGUACGUGGGUAAAACCCAUUGCCAUCACUACUCGGUCAGCAGCAGCCCGCGCCUACCGUCAGCGCCGGCCAUCACGUCUCGUACAACAUCGACCUCAACGGGGAGUACAACUUCACAAAGUCGCAGUCGCAGUCGCCGACGCUUGUCCGUUCGUGGAUGCCCGCUUCCACGCCCGUCGGUGCCCGGUCUCUGUUUGCCGGAAUGUCUCAGCCGGGCGCGACGGUGGAUGAUGAGGAGGUGGCUACGAAGACGGACAAGUGGACGACUCCCGGCCGGAGGUGAACAUCCAGCAGACUAACACCCCGAGGCCGGACAGCCAGCAGUCGCAGGCCCAGCCGACGCAGAUCCAGCAGUUGGACAUUUGAUGUAUAUAGGGUUGGAUGUCCGGCUCCGCUAGCGCUGUCCGUGGACACGUCCGGACGUGUCCGCGGACGUUUAGGGUGUCUGUUUUGAUGGACGGCAUCGGACAUGCUCUAACAUGCAGGGCUGUCUCAUUAAGUCCCUAUGUUUCACAAUAUUCUUGGCAGUUUACUAGCCAAAUGGCCCACAUAUCUAUGUGCUAGUUGAGCUACCAGAAUGUGCAGUCCCACAGCCCUCGUGUAGUUUGAGCAGUAUAUCAGGUGGAAGCCAUGCCCAAUCCUCCCCAUCAAUGUGUCUGACGAUCCAGAUGCCAUGGCUUGACACACCUUGGUGGCCCACAACUGCUAUACUGGAUGACGUGCAGAACAUGACAAAGAUCAAAGAGCUGGGAAACGCUUCAAUGUCCACAUAUUUGGAUGAUUGAACUAACAGUCUAACAUGCAGAUUUCUGCGAGACCUACAAGUGAGACCUACUAGGAUGAGUUUGCAUUUUUUGAACCCAAGUGAGAGAACCAUAAAAGAAGGGAUCCACGGUGCAAUUUAUUUUGAAAAUAUUAUCACAAAGCGGGUCUUACAGAAGUUACCUGUAGAGCCAACCUCUCUUCUCAUAAUUAUAGUUCAUUAUAGUGCAACAGGUACAUCCUGUUAUGUUCCAUUUGCUGCACUUGCACAAUUUACACCUCCAACCACUGCUUCUUGCUAUUGUUUUGCUCUCUACAGGGAUUAACUUUCACAAGUGCAAAUCUGUAGUUUAAAAGAAAAUAAAAAAAAUGUUCGCCACUGCCCUCCCUCUUGUUCUGAAUUAUCGGGAUUUGCAUUCAACAACAACAACAACAAAGCCUUUAGUCCCAAACAAGUUGGGGUAGGCUAGAGGUGAAACCCAUAAGAUCUCGCAACCAACUCAUGGCUCUGGCAUAUGGAUAGCAAGCUUCCACGCACCCCUGUCCAUAGCUAGCUCUUUGGUGAUACUCCAAUCCUUCAGGUCUCUCUUAACGGACUCCUCCCAUGUCAAAUUCGGUCUACCCCGCCCUCUCUUGACAUUCUCCGCACGCUUUAGCCGUCCACUAUCGGGAUUUGCAUUCCCCUGGCUUUAUUCGCAUGAAUGGUACACAUGAGAGAUGGAAUUUUGUGAAGUAUCCCACUAAUUUGUUUUUACAUUAUUUUUUUCAUUUUCAGGAGUUAAAGCUACAUAUCUCCUCGCAGUUGCUUUCCUUGAGAUAUUGCGUUUUAGCGGCAGUGGUGGCAUACUUUCAGCUACAUUGAAUAAAUCAAAUAGUUCGUUCGGUUGUGUGUUUGAGUAUCUGCUUACUCCCAACUUGACACCAGCAGUAACUCAGUGUUUGACGGCAGUUGUGCACAGAGCUUUUGAAACAAUGUUGUCAUGGCUGGUAUGUAAUCAUAUUUGUUCUGUUGUCUUUGUAUCCCGUCAUGUGCUAUGUCCUCUGUUGUUUUCUGUUGAAUCAAAUCACUCCCCAUCUCAUGGCAACUUCGAUUUUUAUAAGUAAAAAAAGGCUUACAGCUUUCUGUUGUGAAAGAAACACACAUUCUACGCCAUUGUUGCAUCCUUGACAGCUUUUGCCAGGCACUUACAUUUCCCUAGUGUUUCAGAUGCAUGUUAUCAUAUCUAGGAUUCUUGUUGAGACACCCAGUUGUUAGAAAAGAUGCACAAAGAUGCACUGGCAGACAGAUGUUUUAGUUUUCCUUUGGGCAGUAUGAGACAUCAAACAUUACUUGCAUCUUGUUCCAAGGUUUUAAACCGGCUCUAGAUGUUGCAUCAUACAACAUUAGACAUUAGGAAUUUGAUCUGCAUUGGUGUUAUCCGUCCUCUGUUCAUCGACUUUGCAUUGUAGACUGUAGUUCAUCUGUCGAAUUAUACUACUGUUAUUUUAUCUUUAGAGAGAUGAGAAAUUUGUAACCUGUAAGGCUGUAACCGUGCACCAGAUUAAGUGUAUUUUAUGUUCCCAGGAGGAACGUACGUCUGACAUAGGCGAAGAAUCUAAUGUGAGAGAAUCUGUUCUUUCCGUUCAUGCUGGCUUCCUUAUAAAGAGCAUGUCACAAAGGGAUGAACAUGUUCGUGAUCUGAGUGUUAAGUUGUUAACUCAGCUAAAGGAAAAAUUUCCACAGGUUAGGUGCUUUGAUUUGGCUUCUCAUGUUUUAGUUAUUUGUUUUGAGCCACACUGAUGACACUAGUAUACUGAACUUUCAGGUUCUGUGGAACUCCUCAUGCUUGGAUUUACUUCUAAUAUCUGUUCAUAAUGAGUUGACUUCUGGUCCUGUCAGUGAUCCUGCUUGGGUUGCCACUAUACGCUCACUAUAUCAGAAGAUUGCUAGGGAAUGGAUAACAAGUGCUCUUUCAUAUGCUCCAUGUACCACUCAAGGCCUAAUACAGGUUCAGUCAAUAUAACAUUAUUUGGCCUUGCCUUUUUGAGCACCAUUAUUCUUACUUUGUAUGAAGCCGAUGCAUGAUUUAUUGUUAGAACAGGGUCAUUGCCGUGUAAAUGUUAAGGCUGCAGGUCACUUGUAGGGCACAGUUUUACUUUGACUGAAACAUCAUUGUUUUUUAUUUCAUUAGAUAUUUGGUGCAGCAUGCUUUUCAGUUUUCACACUAUUCUGGUAAACAAUCUAUGCUCUUAAAGCAGUAAGUGUCGCCUCUUUUAUCUAUUCUUCCUCUCGCCUUGUGACUACAAAAUUCCUUCUUUAUCCUCGUUUGCAUACCCAAUUAUAGUUUUCUCAAUACAAAAUGCUUGUGAGCACCAACUGCUGGAUUAUUUUAGGGUUCAGGAUUUAGUCACAACACUAUACUUAUAUGGCAGCCUUUCUUGAGUCGUUUAUUGCACAAGCUUUGUGCCAGAGGCAUCAUUAAGCUGGCAUAUAAAGUUUGCACUCUUUGUUUCCCCGCCACCCAAUGCAUAUAUUGAUUGUUAAUAUUUUUAAUGGUAUUGUUUAGGAAAACUUUUGCAAGCCGAGUGGUGCACAAAGAACGCAGCAUACGGCAGAUGUUGUCUCACUUUUAUCCGAGAUACGUAUUUGUAUUGGAAAGAAUGAUUGGAAUGGCAUCAGGACUGCUAAUAUCCCAGCAGUUAUGGAUUCUGCUGCAGCAGCAUCAGGAGCGAGAAAAGAAGCACCUGACAUCACCCUGGAAGUAUUGUCAACUGCAGUAGUGAGUGCAACUGUGAAAUGUAACCAUGCAGGGGAGAUUGCUGGUAUGAGAAGGCUGUUCAGUACUAUGGGCGGCUUAAACAUGGGUGUGUCUCCUGGUACACAGUCUGGGCAGGCCCCACAGUCAUUUGAUGAAGUUUUUCUGUCCAAAUUUGUUCGGCUUCUUCAGGACUUUGUUGUUACGGCGGAAAAACAACCAAUAGAUAAUUCACAAUUUCGUGAAACUUGUUCUCAGGCUACAGCAUUACUUCUUGAUCAUCUGGUAAUUUGUUUGCACCUAGGUGGUUUGUUACUUCCUUAGUUCUUGGCUUUGAUUGUAUUCUAAUGUGUAACACAGGUAUCUGAUUCUCGAACGAAUCUGGAAGGGUUUUCUCAGCUUAUACGACUUCUAUGCUGGUGCCCUGCUUAUAUUUCUACCCCUGAUGCAAUGGAGACUGGAAUUUAUAUCUGGACAUGGCUAGUUUCUGCAGCACCUUCUUUAGGUCCUCUUGUGCUUGCGGAACUUGUUGAUGCAUGGCUGUGGACAAUGGAUACAAAACGUGGUUUGUUUGCAUCUGAUAUGAAGUACUGUGGGCCUGAUGCAAAAUUGAGGCCACAUCUUAUUGCUGGUGAACCUGAGGCACCACCAGAAAAGGAUCCAGUUGAAGCAAUAAUUGCCCAUAGGCUCUGGCUUGGCUUCUUUAUUGAUCGCUUUGAGGUUAUAACCAGACUUUUUCAUUGUUUGCCUUGUGAUUUUCUACAGUUGUUUUCUUUGCCUGUCUAAGAUGUUGUGCAUGCAACCAAACUCCACUUGUUCUUAUGCUACAGCUGUUGAACCUUAUAUGACAAUGUAUUGUGAUGUAUAAUUUGCGUGUUCAGUUUGUGUCUUGUUUGGAUUAUGACAGACAUCACCGCUGAAGAUCUACUGACAUACUCCCUCCGUCCCAUAAUAUAAGAACGUUUUUGACAUUAGUGUAGUGUAAAAAACGUUCUUAUAUUAUGGGACAGAGGGAGUACUAUAAUCUUGACUUUUUUUUAAACCCGCUGCUGCAGAGAGGGGUUCUUCACACGUUCUAUUUUGACAGACCAAAUAAUAUGGAGGGAAAUAUGCGAGGGAGAAGAAAAACAAAUAAUGCAUAAGAAAAUUCUGCCUUUCUAAAAUAAUUUAAAAUAAGGAAAGUUACAGUUAUAUAAAGGAAAUUUCUCCCCUGGUAUUUACUUGUCACUUAUCUCAGGAUUAAUUUAUCUGGUGUAGAACUUCUAUAUUUGACACCAGUCAGUGCCGAAUAAUAAACAGUUUAAAUGGUUUCAGUUCUGUUGGCAGAAGUAUAUGUCGAUUAUACCACAAGUAGUAUCUAGAUUUUCAUUAAUGCGCUGAGACAUGCUUCAAACUGAUCAGAAUUGUACAUUUUGAAUAUAGGGUUGUCCAUAGGGUAAUAUUUUUUUGUUUAUGGUCUGGCGGUACUUUUGGUAGUCUGCAAAUGUGUUGCAUUUCUAAACCACAUCUUCGCAAGCAAUUACGUUACUUACUCCCACCGUUCUGAAAUAUAAGGUGUAUUAGUUUUUUCAAAGUCAAACCUGUGCAUGUUUGACCAAGUUUCUAGAAAAAAAAUCAAUGUAUACAAUACCAAUUUUUUAUAAUUUGAUACAUCAUGAAAAGUAUUGUCAUAGUUUAUCUAUUAGGUAUCGCAGAUGUUGAUAUUUUAUUCUAUAAUCUUGGUCAAACAUACAAAUGUUUGACUUCCAUGAAAGUUGAUGCACCUUAUAUUCUGUGACGCGAUUGAUUUAUUCUCUGCAUAUUAUCAGCAAAUGCUGCUUACCCUCGUACUAUGUCUUUAAACCAUCUUUAUGUAUGUACUAAAAGUGACAAAACUUGAUGUCUUUUAUCGUCAGUACAUAAUUAAAGUUGCUUGCAUUUUUUGUGGUCCAAAAUAAGAGUCGCCUUGUGAUGUUCCAUAGGAUAAAAUGAAGAUUCAUUAUUGACCCUUUGCGCAAUGUUUUGAUUGAUUGCUAGCUAGGUCUUAUACAUCCGCUGUUCUCUUGUUGUGCUGUUUAAUCAGCUACCUUGUGUGCGUGUUAUUUAAACAGGUGGUUCGGCAUGAUAGCAUUGAGCAACUUCUACUUCUAGGCCGUAUGCUGCAAGGGAUGAUGAAGUCUCCAACUCAUUUUUCUCACCAUCCUGCUGCUACUGGCACUUUCUUUACCGCGAUGCAACUUGGUCUGAACUUUUGCUCGUGCCAGGAUCAAUUUAACUUGCAGAAAUGUAAUAUGGGGCUUCAGUUGUUAGAGGACAGAGUAUACCGGUAAUAAUCAAUUCGUUACACAGUUUCCUUGUCUUACUAUAUUGCUCUUCAGUGUAUUUUAUGAUAUUUCUGCUGCAAUAUUUGGUUUGCUGCUUUCUAUAUCUUUCAAUCAUAUUGGUGCAAAUAAUAUUUAUUUGGAAAUCAUGUUAAGAGGAAGAUGUCAGAGUCAAUUAGGAUGGGAAGGUUGGGAAUAAAGGGUGUAAUUAAGAGAGAGAUAAUGCAUUUGAGAAAGACGAGAACUGAAUGCCACAGGAUUCUCAAGCUGACUACAUACCACAAUGCUUUAUACUGUUAAUUACAUGAGAUUAUGAGCAAACGUCCAAGCAUUAGCAAGUUUAGGGAGUUGAGAAGAUCAUUCGUCACAAGGUGGAUAGUAGUACACUAGUACUAUACAAUUUCUGCAGUUGCUAAAAGUUACAUUUGGUAAUUCAAUAAAAUACUUUAUGAACAUGUGGUUAGGACACUUAUCUCUUGUUAUUAGCUUGAUACUGUGCAGUUGAGUAUUCUGUAUGCGUCGUCUACCUCUUCAUUAAACAUGUUCAUGUAAUAUUCAAAAUUUGUUUUUAUGCGUCGUGCUUAUGUAAUGAUAUGCAAGUUUGCAUCUUUUCUGUUUCCUCCCAUCAUGUUAUGGUACUUGAUAAUAUAGUUUGCUUGUCCUGUCUUUUCUUGCAGUGCUGCUUUGGGAUGGUUUGCUUAUGCACCUGAAUUUUAUGAGUCUCCAAACAAAAGUUUUGCUCAGAGAGAGGCCCAGUCUGUUUCAAUAUUUGUGCACAAUCUGCAAAAUACCAGUUCCACUGAUUCUGGUUCGAAGCCACAGGGACGUGAAGGUGAACUUAACACGGUAUGAUAGUCCUCCUCUAUCUCUCUGCCCUUCCCCACCGAACAUAAAAUGCAUAUCCAGUUGUCUUGUGCUUGUGAUAUAAAACACGGGGAGAUAACUUGGUGGAGAGAGGAGAGCUUCUGGGAGGGAGAGAGGGAGGAGUGUGGCAGGAGGGGAAGGUGCGCCACAGAGACAGAAAGAGAGAGAUGGCUACCAGUUUAUUCUUUUCUUGGUAAAAUUGAACUAGAUCAACUCUACUUAUAGGAGUUCUUACAUAUGAUGACCAAUUGAAUAUUGAAUGCAAGCAGUAGAUAAAGAUGGAUUGUUGAAUGUGACUAACAAAGUAAUAUAUAACCUAAUGCAUGGACCUAAUUUGCUGCUACGCUUAAUAAGUUAAUAUUGCUGUUGCUGCCCUCCUUGCACGCAUGUGCCCAUUGGGGUGCUGUGGCAUUCACUUCUAUUAUCUAUGUGAUGAAAAGCUUAACAUUUCUCUCUUGUUUUCCCUUUGGUGGCAGGCGGAUCAGAUCCACCCAGUGUGGGGUUCUGUGGAUAACUAUGCAACUGCGAAAGAAAAGCGCAAGCAAUUACUUUUGAUGCUUUCUCAGAAUGAGGCGGACAGGCUUGAAGUCUGGGCACAACCAAUAAACACAAAGUAACUACUACUGUGAUAUUAUGUUAUCUAUUGUUUCUUAUUUGUGUUAUGAGUUUAAACUCACAUGUGUUGCAUAUUAUAUCUGGGCAGAGACACGUCAACAUUUCGUGGCAAAAUUAGCUCAGACAAAUGGAUUGAUCACUGCAGAACUGCUUUUGCUGUUGAUCCUCGAAUUGCACUCUCUAUGCCUAUGAGGUUUCCGACAAAUGCAACAUUGCAGUCUGAAAUUACUCAGUUGGUACAGGUAUGGUUCUUGCCUAUAGCUGCUGCCUUUCAGAUAUAGUUCUCCACUGUGUCCCUUUCUUCACAUUUAAGUUAUUUUUUGGAAUAUCUCCGCAUUUCAUCUAUACUGUAGGCAUUCAUUCACAGGAAAUGUAAUAUUUAUCUCUUGUUGCAUUUCGCAACUUAAUGUUAGCUGAAGAUGUUAUCUUUCAUAAUUAUCUACUCUUAAAGAUUUGUAAAUUAGUCAGGGAAAUGUAGUCAUGAAUAUACUUAAUUUAGAAUAACAUGCAAUAAUGUUAAUCACUGCCUAACCAGAGUUGCCACUAUUUUAAGGGCAUUGCUGUGAUCUGUUUGCCCCCUUAUUAGUAUGUAGUCAAAUGGCAAAUCAGAAAUGAAUUAGUUAGGAUAUCUUGAAUGUAUCAACUACAGAAAAAUGUAUAAGUACAAGGAUAGAUAUGUGACAAUGUUAUGUUGGCUGCCUUACCUAUGGAGGUAAAAUUCAUAUUGUGGUAAAAUGACGAACUGGCAGUUAUGUCUUGUUAAUCAUGAUACCUAAUAUAACAUACUGCUGGCUUGGGCUAUUAUGGUUUCAGUUUCUUUUGGGUGUGACAUCUGGAUAUUUAAAUGGCAUGAGAAAAAUCUUAUCUGAAGAUAAGAAAGUGCACUGUGUGAUGCUUGCAAGCUCAGCAUUUUCAGCCUUUUAUUUUCUUGUCAUUAUCUUACAUUUUUCUAGAUUACUUUCCCCUUACCUUUAACCAUAGUCAUUAAAACCGAACCAGACAGGUUCAACCAGAGCCGAAGUACUGUCUGGUCUGGUUUGCUAGGAAGACCGUCGAUUACAGAUUCAGUUUCAAUGCUUCAAUACUGGAAGUUUGUAACUAGUGGAUGCUCUCACAUUAUUAAGCUUAUGCUUCAAUGCAUGUGACCAUUAAAUGAAGCGUCUAAUGUGCUUCAUUCGUGUUGAAAAAGAAGUGCUUCAUUCUAUAUUGAGCAUCUUUAGCCCUACCAUCUGUUCAGUUUCAGGGAUAAGGGUGAAUUGCCAUAUCAUUUUUUUUGUCUUUGCAGACACACAUACUGGAGCUCCGUACAAUUCCUGAAGCAUUACCGUUUUUCAUCACUCCAAAGGCAGUGGACGAAAACUCAGCACUGUUACAGCAACUUCCACACUGGGCUCCGUGUUCUGUUACGCAGGCAUUGGAGUUUUUUACCUCUCCUUAUAAAGGACAUCCCCGUGUUAUGGCAUAUGUUCUUCGUGUCAUGGAGACUUAUCCACCUGAGACUGUCACCUUUUUUAUGCCACAGUUGGUACAGUCUCUCAGAUACGAUGAUGGGGUGAGAAUUUCUUCUAUGUGUUUCUAUCAGUGCAGACCAGAAAAAAAUACUACCCCCUCCGAUCCAAAAUAAGUGUCGCUGUUUUGAGUUUUGAACUAACUACAGUUCAAAACUGCGACACUUAUUUUGGAUCGGAGGUAGUAAUAAUUAAAUCUGCAUUUUGAUUUAUUAUUCCUUGUAGAAGACAUGUCACCUUCUUAAAAAUAAUAAUGCGCUUCUCUUUUUUUCCUUGCCUUUUAUCUCAUCAGAAAUUAGUUGAAGGAUACUUGCUUGGAGCUGCUCGAAGAAGUAAUAUAUUUGCUCACAUCUUAAUAUGGCAUCUGCAGGUGAAAUUAUUUAGUUUGUAUUUUCUAUAUUUCUAAAAUUAUGGGAACUUGUGUUUGUUCAAAUGAAGAUAUAAAUUUUAUUUUAUUCUCCCAUAUUCCUACUGGGAAAUUCUUCGCUGACUUUCUUGUUCAUUUGCAAACUGGAAAUUCCAGGGGGAAUGUGAGGAAGAUGACAAUGAAAAGGAAGGAGCUGCCCCAAAGGUACAACACCUUGUCAUCUUUCUGUAGCUGGAAUCUUCCUUUCAUUGUCCUUUGGGUUUCAAAGUAUCCUGUUGCAUUACCCAAAGAAUCCAUUACAGCCCCUUUAUGGAAGUUCCUUGUAACGGUUGGUUCCCCAUAAAUUAAUAAGCUUGAGGGACAGCAAGAAUGUUAGUUUGUAAUCAGGGUUGUGCUUAUUUGAUAAGGCACCUGAAAGAUUUUAUGAAAUGUUUGUUUACUUUUGACUCAUGCGCUUCAUGAAAUUAACUUCCAUUGUUUUUGCAAGUAAAGCUGUUGUAGUGGUGAAUAAAUGAUGGAUUGAACAGUUAAGUCGUGCAAUGUUAUUUUGAAUGGGAAGAAUCCAUAUUAUAUUCAGACUUACAGUAGGCAUGAACAUAGGACUCUAUGUCUUGUAUGUGUCACCCUGUUAGUCUGAUGCUUUUCUGUUUUGUACGUACUGUAUAUGGCCCACCCAGCACCAAGUUAGGGAGAGGAUCCCCGUGAUCUCUAUAUAUCUAACUUGCUUCCAGGGUCAAGUGCCUCUUCUAGCCUAGUGCACAACAUUUUCUGAGUAAAAUCUUGUCUUGGUCAUUUCUUAUCUUGUAACUUAGUCAUAGUAAUGUGUGCUGUUUUGCCAAAGCACAUUGCAAGCUUUGAAGGUAAUGUGUAUAAUGUUAAACAUUUUUUUUUCAGCCCAAUGCAUUCCAGUCCUUGCUUCCUGCUGUUAGGGAGAAAAUUGUUGACGGUUUCACUCAGGAAGCUCGGGACAUGUUUGAAAGAGAGUUUGAUUUUUUUGACAAGGUCACCUCAAUUUCUGGUGUUCUUUUCCCUCUCCCCAAGGAAGAGCGAAGAGCUGGUAUUAAAAGGUAUUUAUAGAAAUUUCAUUCUUGUGUUUUGUUGAAGAACUAAGACCCUACUACCAAGAGAACUUCUCAUCUGGAAAUUUGUGCUAGUGAACUCAUCAUUUUGAAUUCUUAAUGCAGGGAGCUGGAGAAGAUUACUAUUCCAGGUGACGACCUCUAUCUACCUACUGCAACGAACAAGUUAGUACGGGGCAUACAGCUGGACAGUGGUAUUCCUCUCCAGUCUGCCGCAAAAGUUCCAAUAAUGAUUACUUUUAAUGUGAUUGAUCGUGACGGGAACCCAAAUGAUGUAAUGCCACAGGCUUGCAUUUUUAAGGUAAAUAAUUCUUUUGUCGCAAUGAAAUCUGCGCAACUAAUUUCUUUCAUGGGCGUAAACCUAUAAUUCUGGGUCAUGUGUAUUUAUCUAUUAUUAUGGGAACAUAAACCUCAGCUCACAUUUCCGUCUUUGGAAGGACAAUGAGAUUGCUGACUCCAUACCAAGGUUUUAAACCGAUGUGUGCCUAUAUAGCAAGGACCUGGAAAGCUUAGCGUCGAUUUUCAAAUCAUGUCAUAAGCUGAUGACCAGCAUAAUUAAAACCACUAUACAACCUGCGGCUGUUGGGAACAGUCUUCUCAAGUAUGAUCAGAGGCUCCCAUGGGAACUGUACAGUGUUUUUUUGGUGUCUUGCAUUCUCUUGAUACAAAAACAUACAGCUUGAGGUUAGGAAAAAAAGAGUGCUAAAUUUGUUGAGGUACAUCAAUUGUGGUAGGAACCUUGACCUGAGAAAUAUCUUCACCUCUACAAAACCGGGUGGGCAAUUUUACAAAGUUACCACUGAAAGUUCCCACCAUGUUUCAGUCACAUUGUUCACUGCUGAUAAUCUCAUUAUUAGUUUCAUUUCAUUGUCACCUGGGUACUUAUACGUGAUAUGCAGCUACUUUUCGCAUGUUCUCUAAAAAAGUUACAAGUGAAGACUGCAGACACUCACACCACCACACCCAUGCACACACGCGUGCAUGUCCUACUGAAACAUAUGCUUUCUGGGUGCAGUUGUACACAAUUUAUUUUUUAGGCUUGAUUACAGCCUUUCUGUGCUGCUGUCGUGGUUUUGUGCAACUAAAAGCUAGCUAUCAACAUGGCUCAUUUCUCAUUCUGAUUUUGCUGGCAACAGACCGUAAUAGUUCCUUUGACAUGACAGUUUGUAAAUACACUUUUAUCAUUGCCACAAUAUGGUUAUCAUGUGGACUAUAGGUAACAUGGUGAAAUACUAAAAUGACCUUGAUCAAUUGCGUCAUUAUAAUUUACACCAUAAACAAUAUUGUAGGCAUAAUGAUAAAGGUUACCCUGCGCAAGCGGGAGCUACAUGCACCGGGCUGCCCUUUUUUUUUUAUAAUGAUAAAGGUACACAAAUUACUUCGGUCGAGUGUAAACUAAUUAAAAGUGAGGUCAAGUUCAUUUUAGUUGACUUGUAGUUCAGGACUUUGAAAAGGUAGUAUGUCUACGACGUCUUUCUGAUAAUGUUAUAAUUUUUCAUCCUGUCCUGGUAAUCUUAUAUCGUUCACUGUGCUUGACAGUUCUUACAAGCAACUUUCUAUGCUAUGACAGGUUGGUGAUGACUGUAGGCAGGAUGUGCUGGCCCUUCAAGUUAUUGCCCUAUUAAGGGACAUAUUUGAAGCAGUCGGAUUAAACCUGUAUCUCUUUCCCUAUGGUGUUUUGCCCACUGGCCCUGAACGAGGCAUAAUUGAGGUCAGCAUAGACCUGCAAUUGUUUCAUUUUUCACCCUAUGGACUACGUAACCAACUAGUGGUCUUGGAAAGAGUUAUUGGCUGUUGUUCUUGCUUUCCUGUAUGGUUCAUACAUCUUAACCUGAGCAUGCUGCAGGUUGUCCCAAAUACUCGGAGUAGAAAUCAAAUGGGUGAAACAACUGAUGGUGGUUUAUUAGAAAUAUUUCAGCAAGAUUAUGGCCCUGUAGGGUCACCUUCUUUUGAAGCUGCACGUCAAAUGUUUAUUGUUAGUAGUGCUGGAUAUGCUGUUGCCAGCCUGCUUCUUCAACCGAAGGAUCGGCAUAAUGGCAAUCUUCUCUUUGAUAGGUUCUAACUUAGUCCUAUAUAAUUAAUUAACCGCGUAAAGCUGGAAUUAUCACUUAACCAUCACCUUGCUUAUGCAGCCAGGGGAGACUAGUUCAUAUUGAUUUCGGAUUUAUUUUGGAGAUUUCCCCUGGAGGUAACAUGGGGUUUGAGAGUGCACAUUUCAAGCUAAGCCAUGAGAUGACUCAAUUGCUUGAUCCAUCUGGAACUAUGAAGAGUGACACCUGGAAUCAGUUUCUCAGGUAUGCAAUUUUUUCACAGUUCUAGCAAACUGUAAUUGGGAGUGACUCUUUAAUACUCUCUCUGUUCCUAUAUAUAAGUCUUUUUAGAGAUUCCAGUGCGGACUACAUACGGAGCAAAAUGAGUGAAUCUACACUAAAAUAUGUCUAUAUACAUCCGUAUAUAGUCUCAAUUGAAAUCUCUAAAAAGAUAUAUUUAGGAACGGAGGCAGUACAUGUCUCUGCAAUUUAUGCAAGCUUGAUACACUUUUUCCACCAUGAGGGCGAGGGAGCUAGGCAAGAAAGUCAUGACCUUUGUAGAUAAAAUUAUGCAUAGAAAAUAUAGGUUGGGACAUUUUGUAGAGAAAAUUAUGCCUAGAAAAUGCAAGGGGAGGGAAAAAAAGUUGGGCGACCUUUUGUACAUAAAGUUAUGCAAACUGUAGCUAUCCCUCUCAGUAUGAAUUUGUGGAGGGAGAUUGUCCGUCUGCAAACUUUCUACGAUGUUUGGAAAACGAUACUGAACACUAUAUGAAGCGUAGUUUGUACGAAUCCAUGGACUGCAUUGACCUUCUCCUUGCACUGCAUUAUUCUGAUUACAAUGUUGUCUGUCCAGACUGUGUGUCAAGGGAUACCUAGCGGGAAGGAGACACAUGAAUGGCAUUGUAACUACAGUACAGUUGAUGGUGGACAGUGGACUCCCUUGCUUUAGCAGGGGAGAGCCCAUUGCUAAUCUUCGGAAGCGGUUUCAUCCAGAGAUGAAUGAGCGCGAGGCGGCCAAUUUCAUGGUACGGACAUGUGUUGAUGCCUACAACAAAUGGACCACCGCUGGGUACGAUUUGAUUCAAUACUUGCAGCAAGGUAUUGAGAAAUAGUUAAUUUCCCAUUUUGUAAAUGGUAUGGGUCGUGUACAUCAAUUGUAUGUAGCACACUAACUCCAGCAUGUAGAGUUAUAUUGAGCAGUUCCUUUGUACCGAGAGAACUGAGAAUGUAUGUUUAACAGAGGUGUGAUGUAUUUUCCUAUUGAAAGACAGUCUAGCUAGUAAGUAAGCCCAAUAGUAUCAUCAGUUCACCGGGUCUUUUUGUAACAGAGCAGCAGAUUCAAUUCUUUGUCUUCUGCUGUCCACAUAUUUGUUGAUUUUAUCAUGUCGUUGACAUAUUCUCUGGAUGAGGUUGUGCAAUUUCAGCAGUCACUUUUUGUUUUGUUUGAGAAGGAUUUGGUAUGUCAUUUUUCUCCCCGUCCAGUAGUGUAAGAUUUCUUUUGACAAAAUACCACAAUUUCAUUUGCGCUUUGACACAAAUAUCGCACCUGUGUCUUAUUUGAUGUACCUACAUCUCAUCCAGAGAUGCCAUUAAGAAUAUAUAUUGCCUUUCUCGCGUUCAUUUUUGGUGGCUCUGUUAUCCUAGUUUUAGGGGCAUAAGAACUUUCGUUGCUGGGCUUUCUCUCGCUCUCUUAGUUAAAGGGAAUAUGAUGGUCGUUCUUUUCUCCUCCAUAUCAGUACUGAGUGCUAUACUGAUACUCAUGGAAUGAAUGUGUGGUAACAUGAUUUUUUUUGAAAAACAACACCUUUAUUAAUUAGAAACAAUGGUUACAUUGUCUAUAAGAAGAGGUACAAUAUUUCCAUAGGCUCCUCGAACCAAUCCUUUGUCAUGGAACAUUUCACGAACCUAGCAAGUUCAUGAGUGAAAGUCCUAUUCUGAUCCCGAGCUCAAAUGCACCACGGUAAAAUUCAAAAUAUAUAAAAAAUUCAAAAAAAAUGUGAUAAAAUUUUAAAAAUGUUUUGUAUGUUUAACAAUGUUUUGUAUGUUUAACAAAUUGCAGCACGAAAUGACAUUUCGUGGAAGUUGUGGCAAACAAAAAGUACUCCAAAAUAUUUUCAAAACUAGCAUGUUUGGAGCAUCGUUUUUUUCAUGACUUCCUCGAAUGUCCUUCCGUGUUGAAAUUUUGCAAGCAUACAAAACAUUUGUCAAAAUUUACCACAAAAUAAUUUCAGAAUUUUUUGAAUUGCUUUACUUUUCUUUUACUAUUCAUCAGGGUGCAUUUGAGCUCGGGAGCAGAUACUUCAUGUCCGUUCAUGAGCUAUUUUAUUUGCUUCCCUAUUACAAUGUUCAAAACUAGUAAAAGAAAAAUCACCUGCCAUAAAACAACAAUCAUCAAAAACUGCCGCCGCCACUCUUGCAGAAUGUCCUCUAUUCUUCAUCGUGUCAAUAACUUCCAUGUUAUCAGAGUUAAUCAUGAGACGAUUGCAGCAUGCCUUUUGUGCCAAUAAUAAGUCAAACCUAAGCGCCAACGCUUCCGCUGUCAGAACAUCAGCACACCAAUCAAUCAUCCAAUUUUCUUCAAUAAUGAAUUUUCCUUUAUCAUCCCUGAUUACAACACCGAUUGUGCCCGUAAGGCGUAAGCAGCAUCCACAUUCAGCUUAACAAAACCCCUUAGGAGGUCUGCUCCAUCCUCCAUUUCACCUAGUAGUAUUAGGGGAGUGGGCAUUUACAUAGUUUGCCGUUAUAACUUGAAUCCCCAUCGAGGCUUCAUACACCCCUCUUGAAACUUACCCUCAUGAACCAGCUUACAUCUAUCACAUCAUAAAUACCAAGCAGUUAUAGCGAUCAAUUCAAGCGCAUUGGGGCCCAAAAUAGACAGUUCUUGAUCUGGCAUGAGUAGUAAUUCAAGUGCGGCCUCUCCCGCAUAAUCAAUAACACAAGCUUUCUUAAUCGCUUUGUACAUCCCCAACUUAUCCCACAUCUUUUUUGCCUUCUGACACAAAACAUGUUUUGUUUCCUCUGGACCAUUCGAGCAUGAUGGACAAAACUUUCAUGUAUCUAUUAGCAAGCGUAACACGACGCGCGAGGAUUCAUACAUCAAAUAAAUAUUUUUACCUUUGCUGGACAAGCUAAUUUCCAGACCUUACCUCAAAUAGGAUUGACCUUGCUUCUAUCCAUACCAUUUGUGUAUUGCAAUUUCCUCCCAUGUUGUUGUUUCCAUUCCUUCAAAUAAGCUGAUCGAGCAGUAAAUAAAGUAUUUUUUGUAUUCAAGCAAUGAAAUCCAGCAUAUUAUGCAUAGGGAGGGGAAUCACAAGGACUCGUUGAGCAUCAAUUAUUGGCCACAACGUUUGUCUCAUCAAAUCUUCAUCCCAAAAAUUCAUGACGGGAUCAAUAGGAUCAUAAUAAACCUUUGACAGAAGGUGCCCUCGUCUAGGAGUAAUACUUUUUCUAUUUGCACAAUUCGGGAUCUAAGCAUUUCGCCAAAUAUCAAUAGUUUGUCCAUUCCUAACUCGCCAUAUAUAACCUUUUCUGAGAGAGUUGACUCCCGGCAUAAUGUUUGCCAAGUAAAAGAGGACCCUUUCUUAAAUUUGCAUUCAUCAAAGCACCCUCAGGGAAAUACUUGGCUCUGAAGAUUUUUGCACAUAAGGAAUCAGGAUUAUCCAAAAGACGGCAACCUUGUUUAGCUAACAAUGCCAGAUUAAAACAAUUUAUAUCUCUAAAGCCCAUAUAUCCUUGAUCUUUUGGAACACACAUCUUCCACCACGCCAUCCAAUGCAUCCUUUUUCGAUUGUCCUCGUCACCCCAUCAAAAUUGCGACAUCGCGUCAAUGAUUCCUUUGCAAAUUUUUGUAGGAACUUUAAAGACGAAAAUGGCAUAGGUGGGAAUAGCUUGUACAACAGGUUUGAACAAUUUUUCCUUCCCCCCCGCAGAUAAUAAUUUUUAUUUCCAUCCACUAUUUUUCAUAAUAAUUCGAUGAACUAGGAACAGAAAACAACCGCUUUUGUCCAUACCCACAUUGGCAGGCAAACCCAAAUAUUUACCAUUGAGGGCUUCAGUCAGAAUAUUCAAAAUAGUACAAAUUUGCGCCUUGUCUUCCACGUUUGUACUGGGGCUAAAAAUAUGCUAGAUUUUUCGACACUCACCAUUUGCCCCGAGGCGGCACAAUAAGAAUCCAUAACUGAUCUCAAAGCCUCCACAUUCAUGGUGUUGGCUCGCAUAAGGAUCAAAGAGUCAUCGGCAAAGAGCAGAUUGGAAAUUGAAGGGGCGUCUCUGCUAACCUUAAUACCGGAAAUAUUACCCUUCUCCGUGUUAGCUAAGAGGGUGGUCAAGCCCUCCGCACAUAACAAGAACAAGUAGGGAGAGAGAGGACCCCCUGCCUCAAUCCUCUAGUAGGUUUAAAACUCUCAGUCUCUUCAACAUUAAAACGAACUCGGUACUCCACAGAGGUACACAAAUCCACCCAAUUUUCUUCGAAUCCCAGUUUCAACAAAUUUUCCUUCAAAAAGCACCAUUCCACUCGGCCAUAUGCUUUGUGCAUGUCCAGUUUGAUAGCACACAAGCCUUCUUUACCCGCCCUUUCUUCUUUAUUGUGUGGGAACAAUCAUUUGCCACUAAAAUAUUUUCUGUAAUCAUUCUUCUAGGCACAAAAGCACUCUGAGUUGGGCUGAUGAUAUCUGAUAGAAUUAUCUUCAAGCGAGCAUCAACCAUUUUUGAAAUAACCUUAUACACCACAUCGCAAAAGUUGAUUGGUAACAUGAUCUAGAUUUACUUGUUGAAACAAAGGGUUAGGAUUUUAAUUCAUUAGAAAUUUUCUUAAGGAUACCCCUAUGACCAUAUGAAUCAGGUUGUAGAAAUAGACAUCCUACUAGAUAACUCAAACCCGAGGAAUUUUGAAAUAAUUGUAACACGAGAUCGGUUGCAUGAACCUCAUCUCUCUUCAAAUUUCCGUGAAUUUCAAAGAGAUGAUCCAAAGAGCUGGUUUUGUAAUUUUCGAUGCAUUGUCACAGCGAAAUAAAUAUGUGGAGAUUAUAAAUUAUGCUGAGGAUUUCCGACAAAUAUGUGAAGUACAUCCUACGCAAUCCCAUUCUGAUUAAGGUUGUGUUUACCAUUAUUGAACCAAAGCCUAAGGAAAAGAGGCCACCCUAAUUAUUAUUACUUUUCCUGUUUCUAUGAUCGGAAAUCCUGUAAACUGAAUGAGCCCUUAGAAAUUGUUUGAAUCGAAGAGGCGUUAAGAUAUGUGAAUGGCAUGAUCUUCAGUCUAUAGCUACUAGAUGCAAAGCUAGCGAAAAAUUUCAUAUAUAUCUACAUACAAAGUGUCAAGACGUUUAGAUCGAGAGAAAAAAAAGACAUGCAACCUUUACACCAGUAGAAAAUACCAGAUUUCUAGACUUACAAAUAAGCACAUUGUGAUUGUGAUUCAGAGAUUGUGCCCUGCUGGUUCGAGGCUACCCAACACAUCAGGAAUGAAAGGCUGGAAGGCAUGCAUUGACAUACACCAACUAGGCUUGAUCUCCCUCUACCAUUCUCAGUUACAAGUCCUUACCCACCCUAACUCUAUUGUACCAUGAAUGUAUCUCCUACGUUUUGAGAUCAACAUCUACAGUACAACCUUUGUAAUCAGUACAACUUCCUUACAAAAACGACGAAAGUAACAACAACAACAACAAUAACCCUAAACCAUGGAACGUAUAUACAGAUGCUUGCAGUACAUAGCUACUACUUACUUUGCACAUGAAAUUCUACGAGUGUAUAUUCAGUCGUACGUACGUGGUGAGGGCGUCCUAUUUCACAGAGGUUUCUGCUCAAAACUAGCAAGAAAGAACGAGCUACGUAGGUGAAGUGUAUUUUAUUAGCGGAUUAUCGUUCGAGCGGCGGCGAGGACGGUGCAUGCACAGGCGUGCAUGCAUGCGGCUGCAUCCACGGACGAACGAUCGAGCGCUUGCUUUCAAAAACGGAAGCGCCCGUGCGCGCCGCCGUGGCCGUGGCCCGCGAGCACCAUCGGCGGCCGCGGCGGCAGCGGUGGCAGCGCGGUGCGCUUGACGAACCGGCCCUUCAUCCGCGGCCGCUUCUCGGCGUUGAGCUUGCGCACCUCGUACCGGAUCUUCUUGGCGAACAGCCGCGUCCGCCGCUUCUCCCGGUACCGCGACACCCGCGCCUCCCGCUCGCCGCCGGUCACCGCCGUCACCGCUGCGCCGAGCCCGAAUCCACGGCUCCCCGCCUGUCCAUGCCAAGCAACAGAUCGAGCUUGAUUAGACGACAAGUCUAGAUAUACAGAAAUGAAAUGAGUGUAUAGAUAGAUCACAUGGCAGGACUCAGGACUCGGGGCAGGUCCUUACCGGCAAGUCCAGCCAGGAAUCAUCACUGGGGUCGAUGUGGGGGCGCUCGCCGUAGAACCACGGCGAGCCGCCGUCAUGGGCCCAGGAGUCGAUAACCCUCUCGUAGUCGAGCUUAAGUAUCAUCCCCGAGUCCGACCGCUUCCUUUUCCUGUCCUCUAACUCUUGCUCCGGCGCAGGCGCCGCGGUGCUCUGAUCAUCGAAGUCCGCCAUGUCGAAGUCAAGGUUCAGCUGGGGCUUCUCUUCGUCCAAGAACCGCAGGUCGUCGAACCCCUCUUCUACUCCUCCCAUGAGCAGGCUCUCCAUGUCCGCGGCGAAGCUGGCGAGCUCCAUGUCCGGGACGACGUCGAACCCGGAGAACCCGUCGGCCGCCUCCGCCACGCCCGAGGCGUACUCCGACGACGGCUGAUUGGCAAGCGACGAGAAGCAGCAGACGGAAGGCUUCUGCUCGAGGGGCUCCCGGAACUCGUCGACCGGCACGGGGUUGUAGAGCUCGGCGAGCAUGGGGUCGAACACCGGGACGCGGUACAGGAGAUCCUCGUCGUCGACCUCCACGCCGUGGCCUUCGUCGUUGUCACCCACGAUGCCGGAGCCGGAGUCCUCCGCCUCGAGAUCGGGGACCGCCGAGGCAGCCGCGGCCUUCGCGGUGGCGGGCGCGCCGUGCUUGCCCACCAUCCCGGGCUUCGACCGCGGCGUGCGCGGCCGGCGCUUGAGCCCGUGCAGCCACGCGGGCUCGUCGGGGUCGGCGUGCUGAAGGGAGGAGGUGGCGGCCGGCGAGGACGAGGAGGGGAGGCGCACCCGGUGGUGGCGCCGCGCGAGCGGGUUGGCCGAGUGGACGGAGGCGUCGCACGCCUGGCACAGGUACGCGUCGUCCGCGGCGCAGUGCCACCGCGCCCGCCGCCGCAUGCAGCCGUCGCAGGCGCGGGCCGCGCGCGCACCGAUCGCCGCGCCGGCGCUCGCCAUCUCGUCGGACACGAGCGACCGAGCUAGCUAGGCACCCUCGCGCCUGCCCCGCUGACACUAGCUCAGUAGAGUUAAGCGAGCGCUGAACUCGGAGCAGUGUGGGGUGAGAGGUCGGAGCCCUUUUCCUCUAUUAAACCGCCAGCCCGGGCGGCGACCCCGGGCCCACGCUCCAGCGCCCGUGGGUUCGUGUGUGGGUGAUUUGGGUAAAAGGGCGGGCCGGUGGGCCUGGCAGGGCCUUUUCGACGACGUGGCCCGAUGGGAGUGGGCUGGAGGAGGGGCGGGACCCGGGGACGUGGUUAUCUCGAAGCUGAUUGGCUGGCGGGCGCGCGGAAUCCGGAGAGGCGGAAUUCUAUUGGGCGAGCUGUCACGCCGUUUGGAUUUCCGGCGGGCCCCGUGGGGGAUGGGCGACGACCAUGGGGCUGCAGCUUGUGAUGGCGGUGAUCGCUGGUGACUCAUCAUCAACCCGCGUAGAAUCAUGAUAUUUCUCUUUUUUGAAAUGAGCCCUUUUUUUAGAAUCUUUUCGAACAAGUUCAAACUUGUUUGGGCGCCAAGGCAUAGUUAGCUUGACUCGACAAGUUGAAACAUAAGACUCUUUGAGAAGUGCACAAGAGCACGAGAUUGCAGAAGGUGCAGUUUUGGACAUAAUCCUAAGAAAGCAACUUCAUAUUUGAAAUUGUGCUAUGAUGCUCUAGGUCAAUAGAUAAAAAGGCAAAAAGUGCCUCCAUUCCUAUAAAAUGAAUGCCGCACAUAGGUAAAAAUCCCGCAGGAAGAAAUCCUAUAGGAAUAUUGCAAAAAUCCAACAAACCGCGUGAGCCCUUUAAUGCAAGAGAAACACAAUCUUGGAACAAUCAGGCAUUUGGAGUUUCACACUUACAACCAAGCCAAAAUUAUCACCUACACACAAAUUAGCUAGCAAAUCAUCCUUCACACAGAAUUAAUAUAUAAUGGUUCGUAUUAAUGGCCACAUGCAUGAUUCAUGCAGAGACAAGGGGUUUAUCCUCUCUUUUUUCAAAAAGUAUAAUGGUGGUUUAAAUGAAGGAUUUAAGGUAGAUAAUCAUCCGACUUUACUUCCGACAAAAGACGCGCGAAAAUGUGUGUUGCACAAUUAAUAAAAAAAUAUGUGUUCCGCAAUUAAUCACACAAACCACAAUUUGUGGAACNNNNNNNNNNNNNNNNNNNNNNNNNNNNNNNNNNNNNNNNNNNNNNNNNNNNNNNNNNNNNNNNNNNNNNNNNNNNNNNNNNNNNNNNNNNNNNNNNNNNNNNNNNNNNNNNNNNNNNNNNNNNNNNNNNNNNNNNNNNNNNNNNNNNNNNNNNNNNNNNNNNNNNNNNNNNNNNNNNNNNNNNNNNNNNNNNNNNNNNNNNNNNNNNNNNNNNNCAGAAUGAUUACAUUUGAUUUUGACAUUUCUUUUCUGUAGUUGUGUUGUAGAUGUGCAUAGGGGUACUAGUAACAUGAAUGAAAAAAAUAACAGGGUCCCAAUUGUUUUUUUAAAUAACAUGGACCCGAUUGCUUUUUAAAAACUUACAUGCACCUAAUUUCUUUUAAAUAAACUUACAAGGACCUGAUUGUUUUUUUUGUAGGGACCAACAUCUGGGCUCCACCUAUCAUAAUGGUCAAAGCUAAUGGUGUUGACUUUUAUGCCAUGUCACACUUGACGAGUGACCCAAUCUGUCACAAUUGUAAUUAAAAUAACUAAUGCAGUCAUUAGUGUAACAUGGUACUUUUUCCAAAUCAAAACCCAAUUUUGUGGUAGCUUUCAGAGAAUUUUUAAAAAGUGGUAGUUUUCCAUAACCCUAGCCCCAAAUGUGGUAGUUGAUACGUCUCUAUCGUAUCUACUUUUCCAAACUAUUUUGUCUUUGUUUUGGACUCUAAUUUGCAUGAUUUGAAUGGAUCUAACCCGGACUAACGCUGAUUUCAGUGAAUUGCCAUGGUGUUAUUUUUGUGCAGUAAUAAAAGUUCUCGGAAUGACCUGAAAAUCUAUGGAGAAUAUUUUUGGAAUAUAUAAAAAAUAUUGGCGAAAGAAUCAACAAAAGGGGACCCACCGUCUGUCCACAAGGGUGGAGGGCCCGCCCCCUGUCUUGUGGGUCCCACGAAGCUCCACCGACCUCAACUCCAACUCCAUAUAUUCACAUUCGAGGAGAAAAAAAAUCAGAGAGAAGGAUUCAUCGCGUUUUACGACAUGGAGCCGCUGCCACCUCCUGUUCUUGCUCGGGAGGGUAGAUCUGGAGUCCGUUUUGGGCUCCGGAGAUGAGAUUUUGUCGCCAUCAUCAUCAUCAACCAGCCUCCAUCACCAAUUUCAUGAUGCUCACCGCCGUGUGUGAGUAAUCCUAUCGUAGGCUUGCUGGACGGUGAUGGGUUGGAUGAGAUCUACCAUGUAAUCGAGUUAGUUUUGUUAGGGUUUGAUCCCUAGUAUCCACUAUGUUCUAAGAUUAAUGUUGCUAUGACUUUGCUAUGCUUAAUGCUUGUCACUAGGGCCCGAGUGCCAUGAUUUCAGAUCUGAACCUAUUAUGUUUUCAUGAAUAUAUUUGUGUUCUUGAUCCUAUCUUGCAAGUUAUAGUCACCUACUACGUGUUAUGAUCCGGCAACCUCGGAGUGACAAUAGUCGGGACACUUCCCGGUGAUGACCGUAGUUUGAGGAGUUCAUCUAUGCACUAAGUGCUAAUGCUUUGAUGCGGUUCUCUAUUAAAAGGAGGCUGAGGGAGUCCUGGAUUAGGGGGUACCCGGACAACCGUAUUAUAUCCUUUGGCCGGACUGUUGGACUAUGAAGAUACAAGAUUGAAGACUUCGUCCCGUGUCCGGAUGGGACUCUACUUGGCGUGGAAGGCAAGCUAGGCAAUACGGAUAUGUAUAUCUCCUCCUUUGUAACCGACCUUGUGUAACCCUAGCCCCCUUCGGUGUCUAUAUAAACUAGAGGGUUUUAGUCCGUAGGACAACAUACAAUCAUACCAUAGGCUAGCUUCUAGGGUUUAGCCUCUCCGAUCUCAUGGUAGAUCAACUCUUGUACUACUCAUAUUACCAAGAAUAAUCAAGCAGGAUGUAGGGUUUUACCUCCAUCAAGAGGGCCCGAACCUGGGUAAAACAUCGUGUCCCCUGCCUCCUGUUACCAUCCGCCUUAGACGCACAGUUCGGGACCCCCUACCCGAGAUCCACCGGUUUUGACACCGACAUUGGUGCUUUCAUUGAGAGUUCCUCUGUGUUGUCAUCAUUAGGCUUGACGGCUCCUUCAAUCAUCGAUAGCGAUGCAGCCCAGGGUGAGACUUUUCUCCUCGGACAGAUCUUUGUAUUCGGCGGCUUCGCACUGUGGGCCAACUCGCUUGGCCAUCUGGAGCAGAUCGAGAGUUAGGCCCCUGGCCACCAGGUCAGGUUUGGAAGCUUAAACUACACGGCCGAUAUCCGCGGAGACUUGAUCAAUGACGGAUUCGAGCCCCUGCCUAGUGUGCCACACCAUCACGAUGAGCGUGAUUUAGCUCUACCAUCGGAUAGUGUUCAGGAGAUCGCACCGGCAACCGCUCCGACCCUCAAUUCAGAACCAGUUGCGCCAUCCAUGGACGGGUGGAUAGACCCCGCCAUGGAGGCCGUAUCCUCAGUGGCGAUCGAGCUGAAUAUCGACCUUACCCUUCAUGGGAGCCGUGACGCCAAACUACCGGAUUCUUCCCCGGCCACGGACUCCGAACCGCCUGCGCCCGUGCCUAUCGAAUCCGACUGGGCGUGGAUCAUGGAGUUCACCUCCGCGGAUAUCUUUCAGCACUCGCCCUUCGGCGACAUACUGAAAUCAUUAAGGUCUCUCUCCCUGUCAGGAGAGUCCGGGCCGAACUAUGUUCGGUAGGAUUGGGAUGCGGAUGACGAAGAAAUUCGCUGCCCACCCACCACCCACUUAGUAGCCACUAUCGGCGAUUUGACCGACAUGCUCGACUUUGACUCCGAAGACAUUGACAGUAUGGACGACGAUGCAGGAGACGAACAGGAACCACUGCCCACAGGGCACUAGACGCCCACUUCAUCAUAUGAUGUAUACAUGGUGGACACACCCAAAGAAAACGACGACGAGGAACAGAAGGACACAGCGAAGGGUUGUUCCCUCGAGAAGCAGUCAAAGCGGCGGCGUAAGCGCCACUCCAAAUCCCGCCUCGGCAGAAAUAGCGAUCAUAUAGACCCAGCGAUAGAGCAGGGUGAACCAUCACCCGACCAGGGCAACACGGAGAAUCAAACCGAACAACUCGACCCCGUCGAAGAUAAUAGUCCGGACGACAUCACACCGGACAGGCACCCGGAGCAACAGAAUGCCCAUCAAAGGCUGGUUGCCACUGCGAGGAGUCUGAAAAAGCAGAAGCAAAGACUUAGGGCUGCACAAGACACACUCAAAAUCAGAUGGAGUGAAGUACUCAACACUGCAGCGAAGCACGGCAGUAAUCGCCACACCAAGAGCUACCCGAAGCGAAAGUUGCUACCUGAAUUCGAUGAGGAGGCCUUAGAUCCCCCGCAACCAAAAAUUAAAACGGCCAUCCGGUCGGAUGGACGACCUCGUGGCCAACAUAGAGCGGCAAACGACGCCGCACAUAAGCCAGUAUGCGAUCCACACGAGGGAUCGCAUCAAAAGGACGGCGCAACCAGAUCCAUAUACGGGCCACGCAAGCGCGCUCCAGCAUGCAAUGCAACACAACAAACAUCCGAACACCAUGGUACACCCAAAUAGAGGGGUGUCGCACACCCCCUAUGUUUCACCGAUGAGGUGCUGGACCAUGAAUUUCCAGAGAGAUUCAAACCUGUAAACAUAGAGGCGUACGACGGAACAACAGACCCUGGGGUCUGGAUUGAGGACUACAUCCUCCAUAUCCAUAUGGCUCGGGGAGACGAUCUCCACGCCAUCAAGUACUUACCCCUCAAGCUCAAAGGGCCAACUCGGCACUGGCUUAAAAGCCUCCCCGAAAACUCCAUUGGAAGCUGGGAAGAGCUCGAAGACGCCUUUCGGCCCGAGAGUCAGCCCGAAAGCUUUGGAACAGGUUCCUCACUAAAAAGAACCAAAUAGUCGACUGUCCGAAUGCCGAAGCCUUAGCAGCUUUCAAGCACAGCGUUUGAGAUGAAUGGCUUGCCAGACACCUCGGCCAAGAAAAGCCGAGAACAAUGGCAGCAUUAACAAGCCUCAUGACCCGCUUUUGCGCGGGUGAGGACAGCUGGUUAGCCCGAUGCAGCACCAGCGACCCAAGUGCAUCUGAAGUCAGGGACGGAAACGGGAGAUCACGAUGCAGCAAAAACAAGCGCCGGAAUAAAGAAGACGCCCCGAAGAGCACGGCAGUAAACGCCGGAUUCAAAAGCUCUCGGCCAGGUCAGCAAAAGCUGCCCUCCAAAGGUAACAGAGACGAACUAUCCAGCCUAAACAAGAUUUUGGACCAAAUAUGUCAGAUCCAUAGCACCCCCGAUAACCCUGCAAAUCAUACCCAUAGAGAAUGUUGGGUCUUCAAGCAGUCCGGCAAGCUCAACGCCGAACACAAGGGGCAGGAUACACCAAGCGAAGACGAGGACGAGCCUCGCAAGCAAAGCACUGGGGAACAAAAGAAAUUCCCACCAGAAGUCAAAAUAGUCAACGUGUUACACGUGAUAAAGGGGAGAAACAAAGCGGCACCCCUAGAGAAACAUGCCCCAGGGCUUAUCACCGCAGAGUUCUGCCACUGGUCGUCCCAACCGAUCACCUUCGACCAUCGGGAUUACUCGGCAAGUAUCCGGCGUGCAGGAUGGGCUGCCUUGGUAUUAGAUCCAAUAAUUGACGGAUACCACUUCACAGGAGUCUUGAUGGAUGGCGGCAGCAGUUUAAACCUGAUAUAUCAGGACACAGUUCGCAAAAUGGGGAUAGACCCAACAAAAAUUAGCCGCAGCAAUACUACCUUUAAAGGAGUAAUGCCAGGCCCAGAGGCCCAUUGCACGGGCUCCCUGCUACUAGAGGUUAUAUUCGGCUUCCCCGAUAACUUCCGCAUCGAAAAUUUAACCUUCCACAUCGCUCCGUUCCAAGGUGGCUAUCAAGCACUACUCGGACACGAAGCUUUCGCUCGCUUUAAUGCAAUACCGCAUUACGCUUCCCACAUGCUUAAGAUGCCCGGUCCACAGGGCAUCAUUACAGUAAAUGGAAAUAUUGAACGCUCCUUGCGCGCGGAAGACCGUGUGGCUACCUUGGCAGCCGCACACUAAACGGCCUCACAAACUAAAGCAUCUGACAGGUCGUUAAGACCACGGACACGGUUGGACGAGUCCGGUAUAGCUAUAUGUAAUUGAUACAGGUUUGAUGGCUAUACCCCUACAAGGGGCUCAACGCGCGCGCACAAGUGGCAAUUAGGCUCAACUUUACUCAUUUUGAACUAUAUAUUGUUUAUUUAGUAUAACUUACCUUUUGUACGGCAACUUUUCAAUUAAGUUCCUCUCUUUUUCAGAUGACCAUCGUGCUACACCCAUCCAGAAUACGACACAACAGAGACACAGGCGCAGACGUGCAGCAAGGACCCGUUCCAAGGAUUCUUUUUAGAUUAAGACCCUACAUAAACCUUUUUUACUGUCUCUUGUUGAUACACAUCCCUCGAAUUCUCAGUACAAUUGAGAAGGAUGCUGACGUAUUGGCAUGUGGCCACGUCAGAAUAUUGCACAUACCUGGACACCAGGGGCUGAUUACAAAGGGCACUGUUUAGGCCCGGUUUACAUCAUAAAGACCGAAUACCUUAGGGAGUGUUCGGCGUCGCGAGUUUGGCCUUAUAUGCAUCAGCUCCGAAUCAUGUCUUUGGUCAAAUGUUGGGUUUGCCCGACUCCUGUGUUUUGCUGCCUUACGUUCCGCUCUAUCGGCUAAGGCGGCACCAGGAGAACUACUGCGAUUGUGCCCUGGUUCAUCCGGACGAGCACCUCAGUAGAGAAAGGCGAAAACUGACUGUCAUGAUAUAGCAUGAGACUGGUCAACCACUCUAUGACCUAGCGGAAUCUUCGGGAUUCCUCCACUUUAACGAAGGGCCGUUUCCCGGCCAGGCAUGUACGCACCCCGAAUUUGGAUGAGUGCGGAGCCACCAGGGGCUAUAUAGUAGCCCCACUGUCAAACUCCUCUGGCUAAGUGAAAGUGUUAAAGCAUUAUAGUCCGGUUGCCUAGUUCGCUGCGCUAUCCCCUCCUUAAUGGACCAAGACGUCGGAUCAAGUGUGAACAUGCGUCUUCUGCGAACACCCCUGCAUUAUAUGCAUGGGGGCUGAAGCCGACGACUGCAAUCUUUCAGGUUAUAUACAUAUAUACAUAAACGGCCGCACAGGAGGCAUCAUAUCACUUUUGGGCGAAAGUAUAAAUACAGCCUUGAUAAAUUCAAUAAAACAUUGUUUUUACAAUGGGAAUACAUGUCACUCAAAUAUAAUAUUCUUCGAGAACUGAGCUUCUAUUGAACGAGAGCCUUCAAGAACUUCUUCCAAGUAGUGCUCGACAGCCACUCGGCCUAUGGCCGAACCCUGUGCCGCAACAGUGGUGGCAUCCAUCUCCGCCCAGUAUGUUUCGACACGGGCAAGGGCCAUCCGCGAGCCUUCUAUGCACGCCAACCUCUUCAUAGCAUCGAUGCGUGGCACAACGCCAAGGAAUUGUUGCACUAAGCUACAGUAGCUAUUCGGCCUUGGCCUUCCUGGCCACAAAUGAUCCACAACGGACCUCAUGGCCAGUCCGGAUAAUCUAUGGAGCUCGGCCCAACCGGUCAAUCGCUCAUUCAGCAGCAGCGGACGAACUGGAGCGUGAAACUGUGACCAGAACAACUUCUCCACUUCGGGACCUUUCUGAUCCUUGAAGUACUCGGCGGCAUCAGCAGCGCUGGCAACCAAAUCCAUGUACGCGUCCGCAGAACUCCAUAGCCGGUCCAGAGGAGCAUACUUCGGAUCUCCGAACUUCGUCCGCAACAAGAAAGGCUUCCCAGACACGAUAUCUGCAGCCUGAUUCAGCUCCUCCUUCGUCGCUCUAAUUUUGGAGCGGGCUUGCUUGGCAGCCACCCGGGCCUUCUCCAGGUCCGUCGCUUUCGCCCGGUUUCCUCUUCAAGAAGCCGGUAACUGUCAGCAGCAUCUUUUAACUCCACGGUCAUCUUGGCAAUUUUUCCUUGCUCUCGCAAUGUGCGGCCUGUUCGGCCCUUAACUCUUCGACCGCGUGUAAAGCGGCCGCAUUGCUACUCCUGGCUUGCUCCUUGGCUCGGGCAAGCUCCGCCCGAAGGGUCUCCACGGUGGCCGCUCCAUCUGUAGUCACAAACAUAUUAUACUGGCAUCAGGCCGCUCUUAUUAUGUGACAAUCGCCAGAAAAAUCACUAAGCCCGCGCCUCGUCAAGCCGCUUGUUGACGAGCAUGAUAUCAGCAUCUGCUGCAUCCAGCUGCCGCUUUAGUUCGGCAUACCCAUCAGUCCGGCUAGCCACCGGAGCCUCCACCACUUGCACAUAAAGGCAGUCUGGUUAUUACCUGGGACUAUGAUCCUCUGUUUGCCGCCAUUUUCGACGACAACCAGAGUCUUAGGGGCUACUAUCUACACAGGGCACGUCUAAAAAUGUGCGGUACUUUCAAAAAUGUACAUCAUUUCACGUACCUCAAAACCCGUUAGUAGACUCAUAAAGGCUUUAUGCAGCCUGCUUUCGGCGGACGAAAUCCUUUCAAUCACCGUACCCAUCAAUGUGUGGUGCUCUUCUGAGAUAGCCGCUUUCUCUAGCAGAUCCCUCCGUACAUCCGACCGCACACCAGACGGUGCCGGACUCUUUUGGUUGCUCUCUUCGAGAGCCGGAUACUGAGGACUUCGGGUGGCCAUAGGACUACCUUCUGGCCUUGCCGGAUCAGGAGAAGCCCUCGGCGACGACACCUCAGGGUCGCCCACUUCGUAAGGCGGUGUGGCAGGGGGAGGCGUUUCGCUCUUCAUCAUCUCCGAAAGAAGAUCCCUCGAAGACGAGCUCAGCUGAGAAGGGCUAAGAUCCGAACUGCAAGAUAAAUGCUUCGGUUAUUUUCCUCAGAAAUAGAGCAAGAUAUUUUCGUUAUUGAAUACUCUUGUACUUACAGCUCGGUAGAGGGCUGAUCCCCGCGUGGACAUUGUGUGGCAAGAGUACCCUCUGAGGCAGGUCCCUCUGGUGGAGAUUUCUUCUCCUGUUUGGAAACCUUAGUUUCCGGAUCUUUAGAGGUAGACCUCUUCCCUCCCCGGGGAGAGAGAAUGUCAGAUUCUUCCCCUUGGUUAUCCUCCCUCGCGGAGGCGCUCAUUCCCUUGGUUGGAAUAGGUAGCGAUGGAGGCCCGCUUUCGCCCUCUUUAUUCCCCCCUUCAUCUUCCUUUGAGGGCACCAGGCAAGGUGCUGGCUCGAGCAUCUUUUCCAGCACCGGAUUGUCCAAGCCUUCAGGAAGGGGGCCGAACACCGGAUCAUCUUCGCCUUUGUUAUCCAGUCCUGGUCAAAGAGCGAUUCUUCAGAAUGAUGUCAUGAUAAAUAAAAGGAUAGUGUGUUCGGCUAUGGGAUUACUUACUUGGGCAGCGGUGCGGUUGCUGCUCAGGCCCACGUCCUCGGUAGUGUCCGGACACUCUAUUUGGGGUCCGAAGAACGAUUUGUACAUCUCCUUGUGCGUCAUGCCGAGGAAAUUCUGAAUAGUGGGCGGUCCUUUCGGGUUGAAUUCCCACAUGCAGAGGGGCCGGCGUUUGCAAGGCUGGAUCCGACGGACCAGCAUAACUUGCAUUACCAUAACCAGACUGAAAUCUCCCUCGAAGAGAUCUUGGAUACGGCUCUGCAGUAUUGGCAUGUCCUUGGCUGGACCCCAGCUCAGCCCCCUGCUGAUCCAUGACAUCAGUUGUGGUGGAGGGCCCGAGCGAAAGGUGGGGGCAGCUACCCACUUGGCACUUCGGGGAGCUGUGACAUAAAACCACUCCCGUUGCCACAAUCCGGACACCUCUAGAAAGGAACCCUUUGGCCAUGGAGCAUCAGCAAUUUUGCUUAUUAGAGCACCUCCGCACGCUGCGUACUGCCCCUCGACCAUCUUUGGCUUCACAUCGAAGGUCUUGAGCCACAGGCCGAAGUGAGGGGUAAUGCGGAGGAAGGCCUCACACACGACAAUAAAUGACGAGAUGUGAAGAACGGAAUCCGGGGCCAGAUUGUGAAAAUCCAGCCCGUAAUAGAACAUAAGACCCCUAACAAAGGGAUCUAGAGCGAGGCCUAGUCCUCGAAGGAAGUGGGAGACAAACACAACACUCUCGUUGGGUUCGGGAGUAGGGACGACCUGCCCUCGGGCGGGCAGCCUAUGCGAAAUUUCAGCGGUUAGAUAUCUGGCCUCCCUCAACUUUUUGAUAUCCUCCUCCGUGAUAGAGGAAGGCAUCCAACGACCUUGAAGGCUGGAUCCGAACAUGAUUGAAGGUCCAAAGCACCUGACCUGGGCUUUGGGUGUUAGAACUCGAGGCGGGGGAAGGAUUCGAUUGAGCACGGGAGGGAAAAAAGUAAAAGCCUUGUCCCUUUAUAAAGAGGGUGAAUAUCAAGCGUCCUCCUCGUGGCCGUUUGGGACUUGCCUAAGAUCUAGGAGUCCUAGGAACGGUUGAGUUACCCACGUCUGUAUUAAUGAGAAUCCCGUAAUAAAGGGAACACGAUCUCUGCUUUGACAAGACGUGUCAAGAAACCGCCUCGCGUCAUGUGCGGGGCUGGUUAAAGAAAAACGGUUCGAAUAAUUACCAGGCCAUGGCGUGAUGUCAUGCUGCCAAAACGUGUCAGCAGAUUAGAUUUGUGGAAAUAUUAUUCUCUCUACGGUGGUAUGUGGAACUUAUUUUGCAGGGUCGGAAACUAUCCUUGUAUUCAAACUCUUCUGUGGUGUAUUCGGAGGAGGAACCCGGCUUGCAAUGCCGAAGACAACACUGCGCGCCAGACUCAUCGUCAUUGAAGCCUGGUUCAGGGGCUACUGAGGGAGUCCUGGAUUAGGGGGUAUCCGGACAGCCGGAUUAUUUCCUUUGGCCAGACUGUUGGACUAUGAAGAUACAAGAUUCAAGAUUUUGUCCCGUGUCCGGAUGGGACUCUACUUGAUGUGGAAGGCAAGCUAGGCAAUACGGAUAUGUAUAUCUCCUCCUUUGUAACCUACCUUAUGUAACCCUAGCCCCCUUCGUUGUCUAUAUAAACCGGACGGUUUUAGCCCGUAGGACAACAUACAAUCAUACCAUAGGCUAGCUUCUAGGGUUUAGCCUCUCCGAUCUCAUGGUAGAUCAACUCUUGUACUACUCAUAUUAUCAAGAAUAAUCAAGCAAGACGUAGGGUUUUACCUCCACCAAGAGGGCCCAAACCUGGGUAAAACAUCGUGUCCCCUGCCUCCUGUUACCAUCCGCCUUAGACGCAUAGUUCGGGACCCCCUACCCGAGAUCCGCCGAUUUUGACAUCGACAGAGGCCUUAAUAUCCCUUAGUUUCCAAUAGGACCCCGCUGCCAUGGGAGGGUAGGACAAAAGAUGUUAUGCAAGUUCUUUUCCAUUAGCACGUAUGACUAUAUUCGGAAUACAUGCCUACAUUAUAUUGAUGAAUUAGAGCUAGUUCUGCGUCACCAUAUGUUAUAGCUGUUGCAUGAUGAAUGCCAUUCGACAUAAUUAUCCAUCAUUGAUCCAUUGCCUACGAGCUUUCAUAUUGAUCUUUGCUAAGUUACUCUUUCGUUGCCACUGUUACAAUUGCUACAAAACUGCUACUAUUACUUUUGCCACCAUUACCGUUACUUCCAUACCACUUUGCUACUAAAUACUUUGCUGCAGAUAUUUAAGUCUUUCGGGUGUGGUUGAAUUGACAACUCAGCUGCUAAUACUUGAGAAUAUUCUUUGGCUCCCCUUGUGUCGAAUCAAUAAAUUUGGAUUGAAUACUCUACCCUCAAAAACUGUUGUGAUCCCCUACACUUGUGGGUUAUCAAGACCUUUUUCUGGCGCCGUUGCCGGGGAGCAUAGCUCUAUUCUCUGAGUCACUUGGGAUUUAUAUCUGUUGAUCACUAUGAGGAUUCUGAAAGACAACAAAACCAAGAUCUAUCCCUCUACUAUGAGGGGAGGUAAGAACUGCCAUCUAGCUCCGCACUUGAUUCACCUUUUGUUUUAAGUAAACUUGCGACACCUACACCUGCUAUUGAUUCCGAUAUGUCGCAUAUUAUUGAUGAUGCCACUUCUGCUAUGAAUGAUGCUUAUGAUGAUACUACUUCUUUGUUUAAUAAUACUAUGCCACUAGGUGAGUUUCUUGAUGAACAACUUGCUAGGGUUAGAGAGAAUGAAAUUACUGAAACUGAUGACAUUAUUGAAACUGAAGAUUAUGAUUCUCCCCCUAGAUAUGAAUUGCAUGUUGUACCUGAGGGUUAUAUUAUGGAUGAAGAAACUGCUAGAGAUUUCUUUGCUUGCAAUGAUAGAGAUGAUCUUAAGAAACUAUUAGCUAAGCUUAAAGAAAAGUCUUUGAAUGCUAGAAUGCAAUAUGAUCCUAAGUUUGCUACUUCACCUAUCUUUGUUACUAACAAGGAUUAUGAAUUCUCUGUUGAUCCUGAGUUAAUUACUUUGGUUGAAUCCGAUCCUUUCUAUGGCUAUGAAUCUGAAACUAUUGUGGCACAUCUUACUAAAUUGAAUGAUAUAGCCACCCUAUUUGCUCAUGAGGAAAAAAUUCGCUAUUACUAUAUUCUUAACUUGUUUCCUUUCUCGUUAAAGGGUGAUGCUAAGUUAUGGUUUAAUUCUCUUGCUCCUGGUUGUGUGCGUAGUCCCCAUGAUAUGAUUUACUACUUCUCUGAAAAAUAUUUCCCUGCUCAUAAGAAAAAAACCGCAAGGAAAUAUUUAACUUUGUGCAAUUUGAAGAAGAGAGUUUCCCACAAGCUUGGGGGAGGCUUCUCCAAUUACUUAAUGCUUUGCCUGAUCAUCCUCUCAAGAAAAUUGAAAUACUUGGUAUCUUUUAUAAUGGACUAACCGAUGCUUCCAGAGACCACCUGGAUAGUUGUGCUGGUUGUGUUUUCAGGGAACGAACUGUUGAUUAAGUUGAAUUGCUAUUGAAUAUUAUAUUGAGUAAUGAUAAUGAUUGGACUCUUCCUGAACCAACUCCUAAGCCAACUCUGAAGAAAAGAGGUAUUCUAUUUCUCAGUGUAAGUGCAUCUAGUGCCACCCCUAGUUGGUUUUGGAGUAUUGACGACAAACCUAGUUGAGGGACUAAUGUGUUUGUGAGAAUUGCAGGAUAACACAGGUAGAAGUCCCUCAUUGAUUCGGUUUUCCUACCAGAGAUGACCCCUAAAAAUGUAUGAAGACAUUGAAGUCAAAGGUGGUAUGUGAAGACAUUCACAUUGAAGACUAUGACAAGAGAAGACAUCGCAUGAAGACUAUGGAGCGCGAAGACUUAGUUCUUUCAUCGUUCUUUUUAUUCUUUGUUGAGUCAUAGGAACCACCGUACUAUUAAGUGGGGUCCAAGAGAACCAGUCAGAAUGACUGAAGUGAUGCUUAACGAAAAUCCUAUGUCUUCAAGUGAAGACUAUGAGAGCAAAUCUUGUCCAGAGUUGGAUAAGUCAGCUUUGCUUGUAGCCCAAGUAAAGUUGCCGUGUGUGUGUUUGAAAUCUGACCGUUGGAACACGUGUCAGUUCCUUAGUGACCCAGGGUCAUUUCGGACAAAUCAGGUCAGGUUGCCUAGUGGCUAUAAAUAGCCCACCCCCUACAACCAUAAAUGGUUGGUUGCUCAGAGUUAGAGUACGGCUUUUGUCGUUUGAGAGCAACCCACCUCGAAGCCUUUGAGAGAGAAUUCCUUGCAAGGAUAAAGCCCUAAACACACAGAGCCAAAGAGUGUUAGGCAUCACUUAAGUCUUCCUGUCUGUGUGAUCUGAAGACUUAUUACACUUGAGGACUGUGAAUCCUCCAGCCGGUUAGGCGUCGCGUUCUGAGCAUCCAAGAGUCAUUGUGGAUCACCGGUGAACGAAGUCUGUGAAGGUUUGGAAGUCUACCUUGAAGACUUACCAGAGUGAUUGGGCGAGGACUGGGUGUCCUUAGCUCAAGGGGAAUAAGGUGAGGACGAGGUCUUCUGAGUUGAAUCUCAGCCUCCCUAACCAGACGUACAGUUGUCACAGCAACUGGAACUGGUCCAACAAAUCAUUGUCUUCAACGAGUCACUGGUUUCAUCCUUCCCUUCCCUUUACUUACGGUUGGUCCUUGUGAAGUCAUUGUAUGAUUGCAUUAUCUUUUGUCUUCACUAAGUGACUGCUUGUUCUGAUUGGCUUCACAAUAUCUUCCUACCUGUUCUUUACUGUCUAGCUGCUAUUAGUCAUUGUGCUUUCACUUCAUUGAAUACUUGACUAUGGUUUGCCUAGUGUAGUCUACCUUCCGCUGCAUGGUAAUAGGUUUAUUUCUAUCGUUUGUCUUCGAAACUUCCAUGUUUUGAAGACUUUCAUAAAAAUCGCCUAUUCACCCCCCCUCUAGUCGAUCACUAGCACUUUCAAUUGGUAUCAGAGCAAGGUACUCCCUUGUUCUGUGUGAUUCGGUUUAAUCACCUAGAGUUUUAGCUAUGUCGACUACAGGGAUAAUUAAAGUCUCCGCUGCAUGCCCCGUCUUCGACGGAACUGAAUAUCCCUACUGGAAGAAUAAGAUGCGCAUGCAUCUUGAAGCCAUUGAUGUCGACCUAUGGUAUGUCGUCAAGAAUGGCGUUCCCAAGGCUGGUGAAGGUGUCACCGCUGCUGAUGUCAAGAAGUUCGUUCAACUGGACUCCACUGCCAAGAACAUCAUCUGUGGUCAUCUGACCAAAGGACAGUAUGGCCACGUGAGUGCUUUGGAAACAUCUAAGCUAGUCUGGGACUGGCUCUCCAAGGUCAGUGAAGGCGUCUCAACCCAGAGAGAUCAGAGAAUCAGUGUCCUUCGCAACCUCUUCAACCGCUUCAAGAGAAAUGACAAUGAGAAUGUCCAGCUCACGUUUGAUUGACUCACUGACAUCACAAAUGAGCUUCAAGCUCUCGGCGCCACUGAGAUCACCAAGCAUGAAGUCGUCAAGACACUCCUGAGAUCACUUGACAGCUCGUUUGACACCCUAGCCCUGAUGAUUCAAGAACGUCCUGACUUCAAGACACUCGAUUCGUCUGACAUACUUGAGAGGCUCAACACACACGAGUUUCAGCUUUCUGAGAAAAGAGACAUCUACGGUCCCAACUAUGGGCGAACUCGUGCCUUGAAGGAAAAAGCUGUCUCCUCAUCUGAAGAAGAAUCUGACAGCAGUUCUGAUGAUCCUGAAGACAUUGGAAAGGAGCUUGCUAUGCUUGUGGAGAAGUUCCAAAAAUUCACCAAGAAGAAAGGCUUCAGAAAGUCUUCGCGAUCAAGCUCAAGGAAUGAUGAAGCUUCUGCUCAUGACUACAAGAAGAGAACAUGCCACAAGUGCAAGAAACCUGGUCACUACAUCUCUGAGUGUCCACAGUGGGACAAUGAGAAUAACAAGAAGAAGAAGAGCGAGGAGUAUGACUCUGACGACAAGAAGAAGAAGAAAUACUCAAAGUCUUCUUCCAAGUCUUCCUCAAAGUCUUCAUCACACAAGAAGAGCUCAUCUGUCAAGGCACGUGCGUUUGUUGGCAAGGAAAUGGAUUCAGAGGAGGAGUCCGCUUCUGAGGAGGCAGAGGUGGAGUCUGAGGAGGAGUCCGAUUCUGGCAUUGCGAGUCUAGCUACAGCAUACAUUGCCAAGUCCAUCUUCAACACUGAAGACAAUGACUUCAUCACCGACACUGAUGCAAAUGACAAGGACUACUCCGCUCCUACCUACUGCUUCAUGGCACGCGGUGCCAAGGUAAACAAACGCACUACUCACUAUCAAACAUCUAGUGAAGAUGACUCUGAUUGUGGUUCCAAACCCAGCUACAAAACACUUGCUAAAAUUGCAACUGAACAACAGAAAGCUAUGGAACAUAUUCAAAAACUGUUAGACAAAAGCGAUGAUCUGUUAGACGCUGAAAUGACUUGAUCUCAGUCCUUAAUUGAAGACAUAAAAAAUCUUCAUGUUAAGUAUGAGGAACUUGAAAGUCAUCAUGAAACGCUCUCAACAACUCAUGAAAAGCUUUCCUAUGAUUAUCUUCAAAGGAAGCAAGAUCUUGAGAAAUUGAGAGCGGCUCAUGAAGAUCUUCAAAAGGAAAACGAGUCACUUCGCGCUGAACAGAUCAGUCCCGCUCAGGAAGGAUUUGAACCACCAUGUCUUAAAUGCCUUGAGCGUGAUAACGUUACUUCUGUUGCUGAAUG
rnacentral:lncRNA from 1 species